rnacentral:lncRNA from 1 species
UCUCUCUUCCCAAUCAAUAAUUAGCCUCCACCGUCAUCUUCAUUCAUUCCCAACAAUGGCUUCAUCACGCGUGGAUCUCGACGGCAACCCCAUCGCGCCGCUCACAAUCUGCAUGAUCGGCGCCGGCGGCUUCAUCGGCUCCCACCUCUGCGAGAAGCUCAUGUCCGAAACCCCUCACAAGGUUCUCGCCUUGGAUGUCUACAGCGACAAGAUCAAGCACCUCUUGGAACCCGACAACCUCCCUUGGCAUGGCCGCAUCCACUUCCACCGCCUCAACAUCAAACACGAUUCCAGGCUCGAGGGUCUCAUCAAAAUGGCAGAUCUGGUAACCCCAGAUCAUCAAAAUCAAUUCUUUUUUCUGGGUUUCUUUGUAUUCGCAUUUCGGUCCUUAAACUUUAAUCAAUCUUUGUUUUCAGACCAUUAAUCUCGCUGCUAUUUGUACACCUGCUGAUUACAACACCAGACCCCUUGAUACCAUUUACAGUAAUUUCAUUGAUGCUCUUCCUGUGGUAUGUGUUCUUCUGAGAUUUCAUGUCAAUCUUCUUUGUGCAUGUUGUUCUUCUGUUGGGGUGCAUGAUUUGAUUUUGAUCUUCAUCUUGUGUUUGCAGGUGAAGUAUUGUUCUGAGAAUAACAAGAGGCUUAUCCAUUUCUCUACUUGUGAAGUGUAUGGGAAAACGAUUGGAAGCUUUCUCCCCAAAGAUAGUCCUCUUCGUCAGGUACCCUUUCUUUUUCAUCUUUGCUACUAUUUUGAUUCUUUAGCCAAAAUCAAUUAUGGGAAGAAGCUUUUCUGUGUGUUCUUCCUUCUAGUUUCUGGUGUCAAAAUUGAUUAUUAGAUAAAAUAAGUUGAUCUUGGAAAGUAGCUUUUGUGUAUGAUAAUUGAUUAUGAGAGAAAGAAAAAAAGCUGAUCCAAUCAUCUUAUUAUUAUAUGUUUUCUUUGGAGGUAGUUUGUUCCAGAUCCGUGCUUCAUGAGUUAUGUAUGCUUUUGUGUUUGCAUAAUUUGGAAUUUGUCGGUGGUAUCCUUAAUCAAGCUUACAAGGUUGUGGGACCAAGCAACUAAUCUUAGGUUUUGGCUAUUGUUUUUUAUUUUGACCAAUGAUUACAAAAAGGACAUCUUCUUUUCAACCUGAAAGAUUUGAAAUAUGUCGGUGAUAGUCCAAUCCUACCUCUGAAUUGAACUCAUGAGCUCAUUUGACCAAGUUGUAACAAGCAACAUGGCUUAGGCUUUAGUUGGUGUGCUUUAUUUUUCACUGAUAAUUAUGAAAAUGACAUCUUGUUAUUUGUAUUUGUUUUGAAAGAUUUGCAUAGAAAUUAUUUUCCCCCCUAAUGUUUUGUGGAAAUUGAAAUUAGAAUCAGAAAACAUAUUAUCAAACUGUGCAAUUAGAUUGUGAAUUGUGAUUACCUUCUCAUAAGAUGUUGACUUGGUACAUUUUUCAUAAGAUGUCUUGUUAGUUAUAACUUAUAGGAGAUUGACAUGCUGUGAAUUGUCAUAACUCAUAACUUAUAUUCUUCUUCCUGCUCUAGGAUCGAAUUUUAAGUUUCCUCUCAAGGUAGUAGUAAGAAAUAAAAUGCUGGACUUUUUCAGUCAAUUUUCAUUAUCUGUUUUUUCAGCUUUUGUAGUAGGAGUGCGGGUUGCUUGUCUUGUUUACUUCUUGCUAUGAGCUGAACUACAUUGUUUUCGAUGUUUUGUUAGGAUCCUGCAUACUAUGUUCUUAAAGAAGAUGAGUCUCCUUGCAUUUUUGGUUCAAUCGAAAAGCAAAGGUGGUCAUAUGCUUGUGCUAAACAGUUGAUUGAGAGGCUGAUUUAUGGUGAGUGAGCUGUUUUUUUUUUUCUCUUUUCCUUUGUUUUUCAAUAUUGACUAGUCUCACUGACAUGUGAUCGUUGACAGCUGAGGGUGCUGAAAAUAACAUGGAGUUCACGAUUGUGAGGCCAUUCAAUUGGAUUGGACCUAGAAUGGACUUCAUUCCUGGUAUUGAUGGUCCAAGUGAGGGUGUUCCUCGUGUUUUGGCAUGUUUUAGCAAUGUUAGUUACUUCUUGCUUUAGCUUUUGUUGAAGUUUGUAGAUAUUUUAGACAAAUUUUUAACAAUUUGUAUGAAAUUUUCCCUCUGCAGAAUCUUCUUAGAGGAGAGCCCCUCAAGCUUGUGGAUGGUGGCGAAUCCCAGAGAACCUUUGUUUAUAUCAAAGAUGCUAUUGAAGCUGUCUUAUUGAUGAUUGUAGGUUCUCAUAUCCAAUCUUUUACGUGCACUUUUUUGUAUUCAUCUUAAAUUACUAUUGUCAGUUGAGAUCCACUAAAUGUUAUGACCUGUUAACAGGAAAAUCCUGGCAGGGCUAAUGGCCACAUCUUUAAUGUGGGUAACCCACACAAUGAGGUUACUGUCAGGCAGCUUGCUGAAAUGAUGAUUCAGGUGAAAUAGUUGUUUUUUUAAAAUUAUUUUGCACGAAUAUUAGAAUGGUAGGCAUUGUUGCUUUGGGGAUUCAAGAAUUGUCAUGAUUCUACAGGUCUAUUCAAAGGUAAGCGGAGAACAAGCUCCUGAAACACCUACACUUGAUGUGAGCUCAAAGGAAUUUUACGGUGAGGGAUAUGAUGACAGUGACAAGAGAAUUCCUGACAUGACCAUAAUAAACAGGCAGCUCGGUAGGUUUCCUCAAUCACUCAUCCCAUUUGCUGCAUGUUUGCUUGACCCCAGAAUUGCGUUUUGGCUGGCAAAAGCUACUUUUUGUAUCUUUUACAAUACACGAUUCUCAUGACAGCUGCUAUUCUUAUAGAUCUUCAACAUCACAAUUCACAAGUUACUUUACAUACAUGUAUAAUGGUUGUUGCCUGUGACAGGAUGGAAUCCUAAGACAUCACUUUGGGACCUGCUUGAAUCCACCCUGACUUAUCAGCACAGGACAUAUGCUGAAGCCGUCAAGAAAGCCAUUGCAAAACCAAUUGCUAGUUAAGGCGGCUUAUAUGGUGAUGCUGAUGUGCUUCUUCCUUUGAGAAGGGUCUUCUUGCCUAGGUGUUCUCCCAUUUGGGGAUUUUACAUAUAUUUUACUGUUUGACUUUCAUAUCCAUGGUAAAUUUUCCUCCUUUUGUUUAUCAGUAGCUCAUAGGCAAUAGCCCACAUUAGCUCAUGCCUUGAUGAGUGAGUGCUCCUGCUGAAGUAGGAAUUUAUCUAGGGGGGAUUCUUUGCUGCCAUGUAAUUUCAAUGUAGAGCUUUUGCAGUGCUGAACAUGUUGAUGAGGCAUUUCAGAUAAGAAAUAUGUUUUUGUUUUUUAGAAUCUGGGUCAUUACUGUUUUGUCUUUCCAGCUCAGUGUAAGUUGUAACAUUCUGUAUGACCCUGUUAAGCCAUGUGCUCUAUAUUAUUUGUUAUUAAUUUAUUGUAUGAAGUUUCUUACAAUUUCCCCCCCUUUGUUGAGCUUUAUUCCAGCACCAAGGUGUCCAUCAAACUUUUUCUUGAUACCUGUUUAUUAUAAUUUGCGAGUUAGUUCCAGUUAUGCUUAUGGGGACCAUCACCGUCAAAGAUAAAAGAAGAAAAAAAAAACAUAGUAAUUGUUUAUCAGAGUGAUUCUCACUGCAUUCUUGUUUCGCUGCCAUUAAUUUGGUCAAACCAUGUUAAGAUUGGAAACUGGAGCAUUCUGUUUGGUUUGAAUACUGGUUGAGAAUUGCCAAUGUUGUUAAGAGUAGCUAAAUAUGUGUACCAGACAUUAAAAGAUGUUUGGUGGUUAAAUUUAGGCACAGAUGAGCGGUUUUGAGAGGAAAGGAAUAAAUUAUUUUGGACAUAAUGCUAUAAAAUCAAAUGUUACAAAAUAUAGCAUGCUUCCUCUCAAAUUCACAACCAAUAAAAUAUUAAACCAGAAAUAACCAUAGAAAUUCUAAGAAAAUCAUUCUCAAUCAACUUGAAAUCAAAAUUUAGCUUCUUAGAGCAACUCCAAUGGGAGUUGCUUAGCAUGGUUGCUAAAACUAAGGAACGUUCUUUAUUUUUCUGCUCCAUUGGAGCUUGCUGAGGUGGCGUUGCUUAGAGCUCAAAGCUAAGCAACGAUCCUUAGCUAAGCAACGCUCCUUAGCUUGCUGAGGGCAGUAAAAAAUGGUUUUUUCUCUUUCCAUUCAGCAACAGAAAAUCGUUAAAAGGGGAGGGAAGAACCGAUCAAUGGAUUAGCAGAAGCAACAAUACAAAGCAACCCAGAAAAGAGAUGAACACAGAUUAAACAAUUAAAAUACACAUUUUUGAAACAAAUCAAAAAAUUACACAAGGAUCUCCGAUCUGUAACCUUGCAUGUCCUCUGAAACUUGCAUGUCCUCCGAUCUCAACCGCCGAUCUCAACCGCAUGUCCUCCGAUUGUGUCUCUCACCGCAUGUCCUCCGAUCUGAAACUUGCAUGGGCUUCGAUUGAGAGUGAGAGAGAACGAGAGAGAGCGAGAGAGAGCAGCAUGGGUGAUCUGGGUUUCAGCAACAUCUGGGCUUCGAUUGAGUGAGGGGAAGCUUCGAUUGAGUGAGAGGGAGCAAGAAAGAAAGAGGGUUGAGAGGGUUGAGUGUGUGAGGAAGCUUCGAGAAAGUGGGUUGAGAGGGUUUCAGAGAAUUUGGGUUUCAUGGUCAAGAGUGGAGAAGCUUCGAGAAUGAGAGGGUGAUGUCGUUUUGGCCUUUUGGGUGAGUGAGAAUGAGAGGGUGAUGUCGUUUCAGAGAAAGAGUGCUGUCGUUUUGGCACCAGUUAUUUGAGUUCACGCAUGUAUUGUUACUAGAAAAGCCAAUAGUUAAAAGCCAAUUUUUAUUAUGUUUCUUAUUAUUGUUUUUAAAAUGUAAUCUGCUAACUUGCACGAGCUGGAACAUGUUGAUAAACUAGGAGUACUUGUUUGGAAUUAAAUAGCAUUGGUUGGCCAACAAGAAAAAUAAAAGUAGUUGGUAGUUAUUGAUUUUCAUUAAAGAGCAUUUGUUGGCCAACAAGAAAAAUAAAUGUAAUUGGUUGGAGCACUUGUAAUGCAAUUUUAAAUUUGUUUGAAUUUUGUUUAAACUUGUAAUGCAACAAGAAAAAUAAUGUAAUGCAUUUUGUUUGAAUUUUGUUUUAAAUAUCAUGUCCAAUUUUAAAUAUAUUUAUAUUGUUAUAAAUAUUAAUUAAUAUUUAAAUUUAAGUCAUGCUUAGUUGGAAAUAAAAAAUAUAAACAUAUGAGGUACAGUGGGGUCCAACUAAAAGUAAAAUAAGCAACCAUGCACUGGAGUGAAUUCUGCAUGGGUUCCUUAUGAGUUGCUUAAAUCCUAUGUGGCAGUCUGGGCCCACCAGAAUAGCAUUUAAGCAACCCAUUAAGCAACCAUGCAUUGGAGAUGCUCUUAUAUGCUGUCCAGUUUGCUUUUUUCUUCACUAUUCGGCUGAGCUGAAGCUGCAGUAAUAAGAUAACUACGCUUACAAUUAGCAGUAAAUUUGCUUCCAAAUGCCAUAACAGACCACUUAACAUGACAUGAUUUAAGACAAUAAGCUUCAUGUGGGGUCAUUUAGCAAAGUUUUAGUACAAAGCCAAAAGGUGCACAUUUUCUUUUUUGCAUUACCAAAAGAGGCUAAAGAAGAAAGAAAGCUUGGAGACGUAAAUGAUUUCCACUCCCUAUCAGUAUCACCUGUCACUGCUCAACUUAGUAAACAAUGCUAUCCUCAGCUGGCGUGUGAUGUUUUGCUAUGGACAUUAUUAUUCAUGCAUUCUAGUAUCAUACUAACUAAAGAUGCUCUUUCACUUUCUACUCAAGACAGACAUAACAUUUUUUGUUACUUGUAUAACACGACCUUCCUUGCUGUAUCCCUUUUGUCCCAUAAAACCAUACAAUUUUUUCUAGGAAUAAUUUCAGUUUCGCGUAUAAUUUUGUACGCAAAUUUCGUGGCGGUUUCAAACUAUUAUAAUUGUGUUUUUGAGAUCACUUUGUGGUAGUCGAAGACCAGCAUAAAAGUAAGUGUUGGAUGGUGUCACAUCUUCUAAGGUUUAAGCAUGGUAAUCCUUUUUUCUAUUUGAAUGUUUUUAGGAAGUUCAAAUUUCUAUUGAUUUCACUUCCUAUAAUAUACUAUUAUCAACUUAUUCUCUUCUACUAAUUAAAAUUUAUGCAAGUUCUAUUAAAUUAAAAGAGAACCCACAUAAUUUAGUACAUCCAACAUCAACUUGAACAUGUUAGAAUGUAUGUGACAUAACCUUUCUAAUCCCUCAAACAUGUUAGAAUGUCUCCUUUUUUUACUCUAUUGUGUGGGUGGGUGGGUGGCACAAUGUAUUUGAGUGAUAAUUAUUCUAUUCUUGCAUCAUUUUAGAAUACAUUAGUCAUGAAUUUUUUUCAUUUUGAUGGAAACAUUUACAAUUCCUAGCAUAGUUGAGGAGAUUUCAGAUAAAAAGGAUUACUAUUAAAUAAAUUAUUUCAGCAGCAUCUAUCAAAAACGACGCUUUGGCCGAGUGGUUAAGGCGUGUGCCUGCUAAGUACAUGGGGUUUCCCCGCGAGAGUUCGAAUCUCUCAGGCGUCGUUUUCUUUUUGUUUUUAAUAAUUUUUUUGUUUCUUUUUUUUGACGUUGAAUAUUAAUGGAUACUAAUUAUUAAUUAAGAAGCAUUUUGAGUUUUGACAACAGAGCCGCUAAUUUUGCUUCAUGUCAGAUUACCCAGGUUGUCGUGCAACAUUUGCCGACAUUUAAACGCAUCUAUGACAGUUUGAAGCGGAUUAAAUUUUUCUGUCUUAAUUUAUUUUAUUUUUAUUGAGUACGUAGUAUAUAAAUCUUAAAAGUAUAUACAUAUUCAAUACAAUCAUAGAAGAGUGUGUUGGUAACAUUUGCCUAUAAAAAAAAUAAAAAUAUAAAACACUUGUGAGAGAUUAAUAUAUAUAUAUUUUGUUCAGUAAGUAUAAAAUUCUUAUAAAAGGAGUUGCCCCAACUUUUUGUGAACGAAUUUGUCUCCGAUUAUGAGGAAUAUAGGAGAUACCAUAAUACAUAUUUAAUAUAAUGAUAAAUAAUUUAUGGUAUUUAAAAAAGUUCAUAAAUUAUGACAUAACAAAUAUUUUAAGAAAUUAUGAUUAUAUUUGUUCCGUUUGACACUUAAUUCUUCAAAUAAUUACUUUUCUAUUUCGUAACUAAUGUAUCAUCACAGCUGACGGCGGUUGUGAGAUUAAUCUCCCGCCUCACAGUCACCGCACUAAGCAAUAGGGUCUGACCAAGAAGGUUUUUCUUCAUUCACAACUCACAAGAGUUAGGAUUUGAAGCAUCAACCACUUGCUUAAGGGAUGAAGCGAACUUACACUUAUUGACCAAAAAAAAACUUACCCUUAAAACUUCACCUAUUCAAGUAUGAAUAUUUUUUUUGGUUACAAGAGGAAAAUAUUCAAGUAUGAAUAUAUGAUAUAUGUAUAAAUAAAUGGGAUGUAUCAUAUGAGAAAAUGAGAAUAUAUAUAUAUAUAUAUAUAUAUAUAUAUAUAUAUAUAUAUAAUUCUUAUGGAAGCAGUUGCCCCCAACUACUUGUGAACGAAUUUGUCUCUGAUUAUGAGGAAUACAAGAGAUACCAACAAAAAAGUACAACCAUACAAUCAAGCAAUAAGAAAUCAUGGAGGAGGACGAGAAGUGUGGGGAGAGUGGAAUAAGAAAUUGGAGGAGGAAAUAAGAACAAAAUUGUGACAUAGCUAUAAUCUAAAUAAGCGAUAAAUGUUGAAUCGGACAAAUUAACCCACCCUACCCCACUUCUAGCUCAUUGGGUUAAGUUAUGAUUCCAUUUUUGUAUGCUUUGUGUUUUUUUUUUCCACUAUUGCUCUUUGUAGUACUUUGGCCAUCCAAUUGCCCCCUCGUUAUCCUUGGUCCUGUCCUUGAUAUGGAAAUAUCCUCUGCCAAACUUGAGUUUUUGCCUGCAUUUUUGCCACAUUCAUGUUUACCUUGGCUACUCUUACCCAAAAAAAUGUUUACCUUGGCUACUUGUUGCUGGCAACCAGGGAUUUGGCUAGCGGGACGCUAGUCCUGUGGCUUUUCCACUGGGUUUAUCAAGAUGAACAACUGAAAUUGCAAACUUCUUCUUACAUACCUUUUUAUCAUGACCCAAGCUUCCACGUUGAUAAUACGAGUCUCCUAGUUAUUUAUAGUAAAGCUGAACCCAAACAUGAGGAAGGUUUUUUCUAAGGAUCCAAACUUAGUUAUCAAAGGGAUUGUUAAUAUCUGGAGUGCUACUAACACACUCUUUUAAAGACACAUUCUAACAAAUUAAUUGUGUUCGGUGAUUAAAGACAAUAUAUUUCUCUCAAAAAAAAAAUUAUUUGGUCUUUGACGAAUGUCGUCUCCUAUUCAGAACAUUUCUCACACUUAAAAAAUUAGUUGAUUUUAAAAAAAUUGAACCAAAUAACAUCCGAGUGUGUUGAAUGACAUUUAAAGAGUAUGUCACUAGUAUUUCACGUGUACACCCUCCGGUCACAUAUAUGAGCAAAAAAACACUUUUUAGGUUCAUUCAUUUAAUGAAUGUAUCUUGUUGUUUUAAUGAUUAGAUACAUUCAUUAAAUGAAUGAACCUAAAAAAGUGUUUUUUACUUAUAUAUGUGAUCGGAGGGUGUAGAUUUUUUCUAAGGAUCCAAAACCUAGUAAUUGAAGGCAUUGUUAAUAUGAGCAUUGCUUUCAACACAUAAUUUUUAAAGACACUCUGAUACACUCAUUGUAAUUGGUUUAUUUUUCAAAAGUCAACACAUUUAUCUUGUUUCUUAAAAAUUAUACUGAAUCUUCAAAAAAUGAACCAAUAACAAGAACAUAUUCGAGUGUGUCUUUAAAAAAGUAUGUUACUAGCAUUUCUCUCACUUCUUAAAAAAUGAAUUGAUUUUUCAAAAAAUGGACCAAUAACAUUGAGUGUGUUGGAGUGCCUUUCAUAGAGUAUGUUGCUAGCAUUUCUCUUGUUAUUAGUAUUAAUUAGAACUCUUACUCUAAAGAAGCUUCUCGUUAGAUUAGAACCUACAACAGGGUUUUCCACCGGAAGAACCGAGAACGUCCCCUAGCCUGCUACCUAUCUUAGUAAAAAGCCAUGCACUCGUAACCAAAAGGGAGGAGAGAUCAAAACUGACUUCUUAAAUCACUAAUUACAGGGUACAGAGUUGUAGGCAAAGAAGACUUCCGGGGACAUUCCAACUUCCAAGUAGCUUCCCCUGAUGACUUUGUUUAGGAACACCUCAUAAGUGAAACAAAAAAAAAAUAAUACUCAGACCCCGAUUCUACCUCACCUAGAGUGAGAGGUGAGGUAGAACUAUUAAGAGAGUGAAGUGAGAAAUGUGAUCGACGAUGUGAUGAGAACAAAACAAAAAGGAGAUAGGACGAAAAAACGAGUAAAUUGGGAUGGAAGGAAAAGUAAAUGUGAACAUAUCAAAAUAGAAAACGAAAAGGAAUUUGUUGACACCAAUAUCUGCAAUAGAAACUCCACUUGGUUCUUACUGAGGAUUUCCUCUAUAGUUAACAGUUUCUGCACUUGAGAGUUAGCGGCUUCUAUGAUCUCCAAACAGCAGAACUUCCCCUUCUAGUCAAGUAGCAGAGCUGUCUCCCUGCUCCAACUGUCCAUAGUGCUAAAACUAGCACCCAACAUAUAACAAACAAAAUACUACUAAAGUGCAAGCCUGUCUCAACACCACAAAGAUAUUCAGUUACAAUGAGCAAACUCCUCUGAAAAGGAAAGCGUGCGAUCUCAUACUAUGAUAGGGGAAGGCCUACUAGAGGACACUCACUUAAUAGCUCUUAACUCUAGGAGAGCAGAGAGCACCUCAGAGAAGAGAGAACUCCAACCCUUUGCAUAUGGAGUGAAUGAAGCUACUUGUAUAAAAAAAAUUGACCUUUUUAACCGGAAAAAAAAACACAAACCCAGGUAACAGCAAUGCCAAUUCUAGGUAGUCAAUUUCAAUUCAGCAAUAAAACUCCCCCAAAAAAUUCGAUAAUGUUAAGUUGCACACCAGUAACAUGACAAAAUCAGUAUCUCAUAAUAUUAAUGAUAAUCUAGUUCCUCGAGAAUAGCACUGUGAUCCUAUAGCGCUUUCACUAUGAGCGAAUAUGAAUGCAGUAUAGAAGCUUCAGUUUCAAUCGAGCAAAGCUUCUUAAUUUUGUCCUAACUUAAAAAAAGAAAAUUGUAAAAUUUGACCUAUACAAACAAUGGUUUCAGAUAAGCCUCAUGAAAAAUCAGCUUAUCUAUGGGAAAAACACUCCCAUUUGAGACUAGGUGUUAAAAUAACCUGAAUACCAUGACUCCCGAGCAUCAAUCAACCCAACGACUGCAGGCAGAAAAUCAUACCAUACUCCUUGAUUCUGAAAGGGGGUCCACCAGGCACCGAGGAUGGAACACGGUAUUCAUGUGAAUAGAGACCAUGAGACAGCAGAAGCCAGUUAACCUCAGAAAGUGCACAAUGGCAUGACACAUCAAUAAGCUAUUGCCAUUCCCGGCAUUCCCCACACCUCCAACUUCCAAGCCUAGAUGGAGAUUCAAGCCAAGGUGAACAUUGGCUGUGAACCAAAUAACCACAAAUUUCACAACAGAGAUCAGGGGCUGGUUCCAUUUGUGAACAUCUCCAACAACUAUAGUCAUUAUCUUGAGAGGGAUUUGCAGGUUCUCCAAUAUCGACUGAACUAAAACCUCCAAAAUCUUCAGGAACAAGGGUAGCAGAAUUUUCCAAAUAUCCUGACAAGUCUCCAGACACAUCAACUCCCUCAAACUGGCUACCAUCAUCUGGCAGCAACUCAUUGAAAGAGAAGUAGGUAUGGGGUUCAAAGUCCGUGCAAUCAUAAUUUACACUUUCAGAAGUGUUCAGUAGAUUGCUGUCGAAGUGCACAGCAGAGUCAUAUUCUAAAGGUGACAAAUCUGCAGGGUUGGAUAGAUUACCUGCUUCACUCUGUGUUGAGAAAUCAGCAUGUACAGGUAUGCCUCCAAAGGAACCAUCACCAUCACCAUCCCACUCACGCUUAACAUGCCUUCUCACUGGUAGUUUCUGAGGCCCUGGCUCAAAGAAAGUGUUCCUCUCAAUAUCCACAUCUAACUCAGGUUCUGUAACCAGCUCAACAUUUGGAAGAGAGAAAAGUAAAGGAUCAUUCUCCAUAGGAAAGACAGGAGUAGCAGGUUCAUACUCUUUCAUCUCAGAAAAUGUUGCAGAAUCAGAAUCUGCACCAGAAUAUUCUUUCUUUGUACCCCUUGAGCGUGACUUCUUAACCUCUUCGGUUUGAGGCUUGAAAUCAGAGUAAGGACAGACAGGUGAUUUUAUCCUGCGACACUUGCAACAUUUGAAACCAGACACACUAAGAAUUUUGGAUUCUUCAAGCUCAACAGCUUCAGUAUGAUACCAAUCUGUGAAAGCCAAAUACAGAGAUCAGAUAAAUCAUAAAUGUUAAUCACUCAAAAUUCAGUCAAUUAUUUAGUAAAGAAAAACUUACUUUCGCAUGUCUCACAUCGAAUAUACAUUAGAUCAGAUCUAUAUGCCUUUUUGCAUAAGUGACAAACUGGUCCGAGUUCAUCCACGCCUGAUUCACCCUUUAGAAGUAUGUUUUUUAUCCUAAAAUUCAUGUCUGUCUCUUCAUUAGGUUUCUUUUUCCAUAUAACACCCCAUGAACAAUUCUUGCGGGUUUUUGCUGUGGAAGUGGAAGAAGCAGCUUGUUUCAUUUCAGGAUCACUAUUUUUUGUCCUGGUAGAAUUCGGUGUUUGAUCAUGACCUUUAGGCCUUGGUCCCUUUAUCACUAAAGAAGAAACUUGUUUCACAUCAGAAUGACUACCCUUUGUCCUUGGUCCCUUUACCACUGCUACAGGAGUAACUUGUUUCACGUCAGGAUGACUACCCUUUGUCCUUGGUCCCUUUACCACUGCUACAGAAGUAACUUCUUUCACGUCCGGAUGUCUACCCUUUGUCCUUGGUCCCUUAAAAACACUGCCAGAGCUUUUUACUUGUCCUUGUAAGAGUAAAGGACUGGUAGGAGAUUCAUUACUAGUCGCUUUUAGAGCAAGUAAUUUGGCAUGGUAACAUCGUUUGCAUGUUGUCAAGUACUCAACUUCCUUGCUUGCAGAGGCUGAACUUACAGAACAGCCCUCAUGACAAUAACCUAAUGCCAACAAAGAACAAAAUAUUAAAACAAGAAAUGAACUAUGCACAUAGGCAACAUCCUUUCACACAUACCAAACAGCAUAUUAUAGUCUAGGAUUUUAAAUUUUGAAAAUCAAUACAAAGUAUUGCUCUUUUUUAAGUGUGUACUUGGGUCACUGACACUGAAUUGAUUAUUGAGAAAAUAAUACACAUAAAUUGUCAUCUAAAAAAGUUACAAGAGAUCUCUCACUUCAAGGUUAUCUAAGAAUCUUAGGAACAGCAUAACAUAGUAAUGUAAGGAUGAUGGGUCAUGUAUGGUGUAUACGUACCUUUACAAGCAUUACACUGGUAAGCAUUCCUGAAAUCGUGGCAGAUUAAUAUUAUGAUAUUGGAGAAAAUAGGUGUAAAGAGGAAAAGGGAAGGGGAAAAUGAGUUAAAGAGUAACAAGUCAGGGUAAUUACCGAAUUGAAAAAGUUGUACCACAUGCAGAACACGGGACCAUGUCCAUCUUCUCACUCUUGCAUGCAAGGUAAAAAAAUAUAUCCUUGCAGGGCCUUCUGUGCAACUGAGAUGCAUCAUUGCAGUACUCUUUAUCACAUACAACUUUUUCAUUAGCUGCUUCAUACUCUUUCACCAAAUAUAAAGGAAUGCGUGUCUCUGAAAACCAGUACUUCUCCUUUCCUUCUGUACAUUGCUCAAUUUCAACAAUACUUUUCAUCACCCGAGAAGGAAGAUGCUUUUGGCCCCCGAAAGCUAUUCCAUAACAACUUCUUCCCUCUACAAGUUUUUUGUCACAAAUAUUUGCAUUUCUGAAAGCAGAGGCUUCAGUAUCUUGACCUUUGCCCUCCUGAAUGUUCUGGUCUGGACGAAUCAGAUCACUCCAUCUGAGGUACAAAUCUAAAUAUCUGACCUGAUGCAAAUAACCAAAUACUACCAAGUCACAAGGUUUGCAAAGAUCCAAUAUGCUUGCAGCAAAAAAAGAAACAGAUGCAAGAAAUGAAACUCGUAAUAACAAACUAAAGGGAACCUGAAGUGCUAGCUGGGAUGCAUUCCUACUCAUUUGAACAUAGACUCUCCAAACUAGUCGUCUGCUUCUUCUAGGGAUUUCAGAACCAUCAGCAUAGAAAAUACCAGAAAUUUUUCUCAAACCACCUGUCGCCACAAAAAAUAGAACAUGGGUUUUUACUUCCUGUCAUAUUAUAAUUUAUAACCAGCAGGAAAAAAUGGGAAAUACUUGUCUACAGGGAUACAGAGGAGACAAAUAAAUUGAACUAGUUAAUAAGCAUUUUAGGCUCUUAACUUGAUAGAACCUUGAUUAUGUAUCAAAUUAGAGAUUCAACUUGAAAGCUCACAACUAAUUAUAUACAUCAACAUUAAAAAUACAAUAUUAAAAUUUGUAAUUAUUUAGCAUGUCAAAACAAUAAAAAAGAAACAUAACUCAAAACAAGCAUAGAUAAACCUUGAGCUUGGUUCGAAAACCUCAAAAAGUAAUAUUUUAUUCAAGCUCAAUACAGCACAAUUCCAGUUCUGCUGGUACAUUAUGUAGUUGAAAAUAGAGUACCUUGGCGAGCUGCUUUUCUGACCAUGGAUUUUGGCAAAGAUGCUUUCUGGAAUAUAUAUUUGGUAAAUUUGUCACCACGCCACCACACACAGUUUUUAUUGCUACCAUCAUCAACAGUAGCCUCAUCAGUAGCUAACCGCUUCUUGUAACGCCUCCCACUUGGUGCACGUUUCUGAGCUGUUCCAAGAGUAGAUGCGGCACUUUGUGUAAUGGGAAUUUCAACCACCCUAUCAUCCAUCAGCUUAACCCAAUCUCCAGAAAAAGCAAUGAGCCGAAUGUUCUCCUCAAGCUGAAAAUGAAAAUUGAUUAGCUAUUGGAAUGAAUAAUUUAUGAAGUUACUCGAAUAGCACAUGCAAGAAUUGUCAUGAAAAGAUAUUCCCAACACAUGCAUGAUAAUAUAUCAUUUGGACAAGAAUUACAUUACACACAUAAAAACCCUAAAGCAAUUUUAACAGGCAGCUGCAAUAGUGUCUAAACUAUUAAUGUAAUAAUUACGUUAACAGGACACUCCCAAAGCUAACCAGAUGACGGUAACACAUCAGGACAACUGUCUAAACACCCACCUUGACAGCCUUCACACGGAAGCCCGCAUUUCAAUCGUAUUAGAAGAAAUUAAAAAUAGCUCAAAAUCUUAUUUUUAUCAUAACUUAUAGCAUAAAUAAAUAAUAAUAGAAAAUAUGAAUUACCAAGCUAAUUUUCAAGUCGUGAAUUGUAAAGCAUAUUGAGCUUCAGAAAAAUACUUAAAAUAUAUUAAAAUAAUGUAUUAAGCAUAUAUAGUGCUAAAUAUAGGAAUAAAAACAAAGUCGAAAAUCAUAAAGUUAUAAAUAAAUCUUACUAUAAAAAUAUAUAAGUUGAUAAACAAAAAACUCAAUCCAUGCGUAACCAAGUCUAAAUAUUUAUAGUUUAAAUAUUGUUAGAUGAUAAAUGAAUACAAUAAUAAAUAUUUAGUUUUUAAUAAGCAUCUACAUACAUUUAAAUAUAAUAAAUAACUAUGAAAAAAAAUUAUAAUAAAUAAACUAAAUUUUGUGGUAUAGUGCAGGGUGCAAAAACUAAAACUCAAACAUUAUUUUAAAAAUAAGCUUCUGCAAUGUUUUAGUGAAAGUGUGAAACUCAAACAUUAUUUAAGAGUUUAGAUAAAUGGUUGGAACUUGGAAAGUUGGAAAUUAAAAAACAAUAGGCGCAUGCAGGAAUUCUAGAAUAACUUAAAAGUCUUAACAUAAAAGUUGUAAACGACACCGUGGACUGUAUUCAUUUAAAAAAGAAAAAGACUACCCAAUUUAGGGAUUUCAGAAAAUGGUUUCGUCAGGUAAGCUUCUACCCAACUUCAUAACUCUCGGCAACACUUGCAGAUAACGCAGCAUCGGAAUUGCUGCCUGCAGUUGUAUCGCGAUUUCUGGGGCCACUCACACAAGUUUGGUGAUUCAGGUGAGAGGUUUGGCCAAUCUUCGAUUUGUUCUUCGAUUUGUAUCGAUGUGGCAGAGACUAGUAUCGAUUCACACAAUUCAUAAAUUGUGAAUCGCACAAUUCCUGUAAUACUGAAAUAUUCUUUUAGGGUUGAUUGAUUUUCAUAUUUCCUUAUGUUUCAUGAUUUGUUACCUUAUGUUACUAGUAAUCAAUUUUAAAGCAUUAAGUUAUAUUCCUCCUUUUCCUUUAUCUAUGCCUAGAACACUAAUCCAUAUAAUUUCAACAAUUGGAUACAUGAAAAUAAUCCUAUACACAAAGUUAUACAAGACCAACACAAGUAAAGUCACUUAAAGAAGCAAGGUAAUCAAAGCCAAAAAGGCAUACUGAAAUAGCUAGAGGUAUAGUCCCCCAUGUCAGUUAUGAGUUUCAUAACAAAAGCAGAGAAGUAAAAAGCCCUAAAUUCAUCAAAUAAACAGAAAAGCAGCCCUAUAGUUCACCCAUAAGUAUCAGAUUUAGUUCCAAAAUUGACAUCACUUCAUUUUCUAUUUCACUGGAAUUAUGCUAUUCAACACCUUUUGGCUCAUCUGAAUCAGAAUCAACUAUUGUAAUAUCAAAAAGUGAGUUUCAGUUAUACUUGAUGCAUCUCAGCAGCAGCCUUGUUUUACUUGUCCUGGCUUGUUUCUUGACUUGUUUAGCCCAUGCAUCAAAGGACAAUAUCAUUUCAAGAAAUAGGGUAAAUAUUUUCAAUUUGAAUGAGCUUUGAGAACUUGAUUAUUCAUCACAACUCAGACAAAAUCAAAGAGCUUUUUGGUGAACAUUUGUUUCAGUCAGGCAACAAAAAAAGGCAUCUUGGUAUUCACCAAGAAGUGAAAGGAACAAGUAGGGAAUUCCUGACAGGGACUUUGUUUUACUCAUGCCUUACCUCACCCUAAAGCUUGGGAAGUUACAUGUGCUAAGGAUAUUGCAUGUAGCAUUUUUACAUGGGAAAAUUAGAAAAGUUGAAAUAACAUGCAAAACUGACUAAAUGCCAACGUAUCAAUGAAAAAAAAAAUGAAAAACUACUAUAUAACAUGAAAACAAAUUAAAAACUAAACAGUCACUCACUUUAAGUAAAAGCGGCUUGAUAGCACUAAAUGUUGUUGCUUGUUCCACCUGCUUACGCCAGUGCUUUCUAUAGCUUGCAUUUAGGAAGGGCCCAACAAUUAAACCACGUAAACAUUCCUCCAUGUAUAUAAUGUAAGUUGCGAUGCUAGGAAGGAUCCCCACUCCACUCUUUAUAGGGGAAAAACCAGCAAGGAUUUUCAUAGCACUUUUUGUGGCACAUAUGGCAGCAUGAUUUAACAUGCAUCCUCUCUUGCUAACAACAGUAGCUUUACACGAAAUACACCAGCCACACCUCUCUCUUGGAACCUCCACAAGCUUUUUUUCAGAACAUGGCCAAAAAAAGCGUGCAGCUGUUUGAGAGAAUGCUUUUGCUUGCAAAUAAGUGAUUGCAGCUACAGUUUUCCUCUGAUUGUCAGACCCGUGACUUUCUGACCUAGAUUCCUCUGAAGAAAGACUGGCAAAUUUAGCAGCUGCUGAUGCAGCAAAAUCACCAUGCAUGUAGUAAUUUAUGUACGACUGAGGUUUAUAGGAAAAACCCAUGUAUCCAAAACCUACUUGGGUGCUUUCUUUGGUUUGCAAAGAAAAAUUCAGAGGCAACCUCAUAUUAUUUGCAUGGCAAUAAUCACCAGAUGAGCUGUUUCCCAAAGAGCAGUUAGCAAGAUCUUCUGCACUUGAGAUAUUAACAGAAUUUUGGUAGUUCAUGUCAGACUGAUGACUAAUAGAAACAGAACCAGCUGAAAUGACCAACUCCAUCCCAGUUUCCUCAGGAAUCGUCAUAUUCACAGCAGAGCACUCUUUACCGCCAGCAUUGCCGCUGCUUUCAGGAGCAGGACUUUGAGUGAUAACAGAUGAAACAUCAUGAGAUGGCACCAUAUUAUCACUGUGAAUCAAACUCACAGGGCCUGUAGGGUAUUCUUCCUUCACCAAACUAACAGAUAUAGGGUUGUCUUCUCUUUGAGGAGGAAGUAAUGAAGAGCAUUUUGUUUCUUCCUUCAUAUUUUCUGAGUUUACAUUUGUUUCAGUUGAAACCGAAGGCAAGAAAUUUGCUGGAAGAUUCCAAUAUUGCAACACUGCCAUGCAAAUACCAUCGUAUAUUGGCCUAUGCUGCACAGCUUCAUAAAGCACUUGGACAACUUUAGGAAUGUCACUCUGAUUGUAAUAUUUAAGAUGAAAUUCAUUGUUGCCAGUAUUGAGCCUGCAAUAUUACAUGCCAAAAUAUCAUGAAAGAUCAAAUUUCAGAAAUUGAAUUGCAUCUAUGGAUAGCAACAAAAAAAUAAAAUUACAGCACAUAUUAAAUUUUAAUGUAAGAACAUGGAACUGCAACAAAUGAAAGGGUAAAAGUGGCACGACAAAGGAUGUUGAACAUACACUAGUAAGUGGCCGCAAGUACCCAUGAAGAGUUGCCCAUACGAAUCUCUUCCAAAUAUUUCAGCCCCUUUAAGUGAUGUUCCCUUCGCAAUGGUUGGCUCAGUCAAGUUGAUUUUGCACUCUGGACAGUACCAUGGCCCAUCUGGUAUAAACAUUUUCAUCACACCAAUACACCUAGAAUGAUAAGCCGAGGGACACCCAUCACAACAAAGCAGGGUCCCAUCCAUACCACAAAGGCGACAUUCAUCUCCAUUUCGGUCAACAUCCCCAUCGUCAGUACUUUCUGUAUCCCUGAAAUGUGAAAUAGAGUUACCAGGUUGGUUCACAGCAUUUGAUGCAGAAACAGAUUUCAUAGCUUCUUUAUCCUCGGUAAAAGAAGUCUUGGCAUAUCUUGGAUUAACUUUUCUCGGCCCAGUUUCUGCAGGAAGAAUAUCUUCUUCAGCAUCAUAAUCCAUCCCAACCUCUGAUUCCUUCCGCAUGUUCAUUUCAGCUUUUACGUCCUCGGAUUCCAAAACAUCAUCACAAAGAAUUUGCAAUAUCAUUAACUUCCUACUUACAGGCAAUAAAUAAUACUCGCCAUUCAAAACCUCGUCAUUAAAUCCUUUCCAUUCAGGUUCUUUUGUGUAUCCACUAAAUACUAAAUACUGAAUCACAAAAAGGGACCAAGUCAAUGUAUCGAGCAAGCUCCAAUCAUUGCACCUGCAAACACAACAAAUUUAGCAUUUUUUCUAACAUAAACUAUGAAGCAUGACACAUGACUAUGGCUCACGCUUGAAGGACAAAUGACUCUUACAAAAAACUUUCAUUUUGAUUUCAAAUAAUUUUUAGAAAAUUGAACUUUAAACAUAAAAAAUAGUUAAAAAUUGAAUAAUGUUAAGAAAGCUAUGUAACACCCUUCAUUUGGGAUGCCAUUCCUUGCCCAGUUCACCCUGCAGGCCCAGAGAAGGGCUUUGAUUAUUCCUUUUGUUUCCUUUACCAUACAUGGAUGGUUGAUAUUAACUCCUCCAAUGCUCUCAACUAAUAACUCGACAAACAAGCGUGUGUCCACUCAUACACUCAACAUUUUUUCCUGAAUCAAUACAGCUCACAGCCACAGGAACAUAAAUCAAAACACACGCGCGGAUGCACCGCGCUACAGGAUGCACCGCGCUACACUUGAUCAUUCCAUUAAUUUCUAUACAUAGAUGGAUGAUAUUAAUUCCUCUCAUACUCUCAACUAAUCACUCCACAAACGCGCGCACACUCCACAAACACCCACGCGUGGAUGCACACGCGACAGCUCGUAGCCGCAGGAACAAAGGAACAAAAACCAAAACACAUGCGCGGAUGCACCACGCUACUUGAUCAUUCCAUUCAUUUAUAUACAUAGAUGGAUGAUAUUAAUUCCUCUCACACUCUCAACUAAUAACUCCACAAACGCGUGCGCACUCCACAAACACCCACGCGUGGAUGCACACGCGCUACUUGAUCAUUCCUUUCCUUUCUACACAUGAAUGGAUGGAUGAUAUCUAUUCCUCUUAUACUCUCAACUAAUAACUCCUCAAACGCGCGCGCACACUCCACAAACACCCACGUGUAUGCGCGCGCACACACAAUGUCAUUUUCCACAGAAUUAUAUUUCCGGCGCAACGUGUUGGCAUGUCCGUGUCAUAUCAGGUAUCUGUGUCCAUGCUUCACGGAACAUAAAUGAUAUUGCAAAAAAGAAUAACGGCAUAUAAAGUAUAAAAUAAAUUACUUAUGCAGACAAUCCUAUAAUCACAUACUACAUGCAGAAAAAUAUUGCCAAACAAAGGAGGUAUAAAUAUAAGCACCUAAAGCAUUGCAGUGCCAGCUCCGAGCCCUCAGAAGAGAGGGUUUCAAGAUGGCGCCUCAACGCGCGCAUCAGGGAAACAUGAAUGGAGUCAAACAAGGAGUUCGGGGCUCGCCAGUUAAGACAACCCACAAAGUCCUCCAAAGUAAAGGGCAUGAGAAACAAGCAAGUGCUGAAUGAUCUCAGGAAUCCAUAAACAGCAAACAGGUGCGACACACUUCGCUCAGGCACGCCAAUUGUUCCAGAUGACGGCGGCAACUCAAAUGCAGGCAGCAUAAGUGACAUCUCAGUAUCAGAACCAGAAUUCCCACCCUUCAAACCCGAGUCACUCGAGGAAUCAGCUUCCACCACACCAUUUUCUCCUCCCACGCCAUUUUCACCGUUCAAUUCACUCGAAACAGGCACAGCAGCAACAGAUUCCUCCUUCUUCGACCCAGCAGAAGCCUUCUCCUUCUCCGGCGCAGCAGCAGCAGCAGCCUUGGCCUUCUUCCUCGCCACCAAUUGGUCCAGCUUCCGCCUCCUCUUGGUCAAAUCACCAUCAAAAUCAUUCUCCCUGAGAAGAAUCGGAUGUAUCUCAUCGCUAUCCAAAUCCUCCGAAUCCCCAUCCUCGUAAUUCACCCGAUACAACCCAGUCUCAUAAUACACAAUUUUCCCGAGAAAAACACCGUUUCCCGAGAACUCCUUCAGCACAUACCUCCCAACCAACGCAACCGAUCUCGUCUUCUUCGCAUCAGCAACCAAUCUCCCUUCCUUCUCCUCCUCCUCCUCCUUAAUCCUCUUCCGCGGACGACCCCUCGGUCUCGCAGCAGGCUUUUCCAUAUCGGAUCCUGCAAAACCAUCGAAACAAACACGAAAUCAACAAUGGGAACGCAAAUCAGAGGAAUGAGAAUUCAAAAAACAAAAACGAUUCAGGAGAAUUGGUGAGAUUGGGAAUGAACAGAGAAAUCGAAAAGGCGCGAGUGGUUACGGGUUAGGGUUCCGAGGAGAAGCACAGUGAAGACGAAGAAGAAGAUUGCGCAGCUUUUGAGAUAACGGAGAAGAUGUGAAGCAGAGAAAAGAGAGCGAGAUGUAACCCUAGUGGAGGCAAAUGCAGAAACGAAAUGGUUUGUUCUAGAGACUCAGUAACCGAGUUAUAGUGUUUUUAUUUUAUGGGCACGAGUUGGAGCUGUGUUGACUCGUCGAGUCCGAUUUGCACAGGCCAACCGCUGAGUCAGGCCCAUCUUCACUCGGUCUCUCUAAGUAAAAUAGUAGUGAUAAUGGAUUGCAUUGCGCGGCAUAAUUCUUUGCUCACAAACGAUUCAAGGAGUUUUUCAAAAACAAAAAAUAACGGUCAAGUGGAUGGAGUGUGUUUAGUUUAAGUGCCCUUAAAAAUGGAGGGUGUGGUUGGAUUGGUGGUAAGCUUUUAUCUCUCCGGCACCGGAAUAAUCGCAGCAUCGGUAAAUCUUCUUAUCAGGGCAAAAGCGGCAAUAUGGAGUUUCUCGUUUUGCGUCAGUGAUGGAAUAAUCGCAGCAUCGGUAAAUCUUCUUAUCAGGGCAAAAGCGGCAAUAUGGAGUUUCUCGUUUUGCGUCAGUGAUGGAUUUGUAGCAUGUGUUGAUGAUGCUUGCACAAAAAUAAAACUGUAUGUGACUGUAUAACUGUGUCUGCAUACAAGCUUCUCUGCGAGCGAAAAUGCAGAAGUGCACCGGAGUUUUGGAGGUAGGUUCUCAUCCACCUUUAAUUUUAUUUUAUGUUUCGAUGAUUUGGAAUCAUAUAGUGUGUUUAGUUUAGUGAGCUGAAAAAUGGAUAGUGUGUUUGGAUUGACGGUAAACUUUUACCUCUCCGGCACCGACAUGAUCGGGGCAUCGGGAUCUUGUCAGGGCAAAAGCGGUAAUAUGGAGUUUCUCAUUUUGCGUCGGCGAUGGAUCUGUAGCGUGUGUUGAUGAUGCUUGUAGGAAAAAUUGUAUAUGUCUCGAAAAUCACGUAUGUGCAUGAGCUUUUCUCGUCUGCAUGCGACUCUAUGCAUGCGGAACGCAGAAGUAAACACCAUAUUAUAUAUAGGAGUUUUGGAUAUGGGUUCUCAUCCACCUUUUAUUUUAUUUUAUUAUUCAUUGAUUUGGAAUCAUCGGCAAACAUAUUUAUGGGAAUUAACUCUAUGGUUAAAAGUAGCGAUUAUGUAAAUUCUUCCUUUUACUAACAACUUCGACACUCGAGCCCUAAUGUUCCGUGUGAAGUUCAUCUAGAGUCAGAUCACAAUCAACUUUUACGACGACAUUCAUCAUUAGGUUUAUUGAUUAUAUAAUUACAAUGAGAAUGAGCAUAACUUACAUAUGGGUGAGGAAGGAAUAGGAGCAUAUAAAAUACAUGAAAUAACAUUAUUUUCAUAACCUAAUUUGUCUUUGUUUUCUUCUCUCUAUUACUUCUUGUACAUAUCGGUUUUCAUCGCCAUAACUCGGUUAUUCAAGUCCAUUAAGCUAGACGCUCAUUCAAGUCCGUUGAACUAGAGGUUUAAAACUUGGAGAUGAUUACAUAUUAGGUUUCAUUGCUCUAGCUCGGCCACAUGUACCUCGUCCACAAACCCGACCUGGAUGAGUGAAGUCAUAGAAGUUGAUAAGAUAAACUAGAACCAUAACAUAUACUCAAAUUUGCAUUAAUUCAUUAGUAGCCCUUUUAAUUAUGUCACACUUUAGAGGUCAUGAUGGUGAGUUAAAACAAUUAAAUUAAAGGAACUCAAAAGGUAAUGACAAACCUUUAAGAGAGGGCAUAUCCCAACAAAAUAGGUAUCUUCACUCUAACAUUGCCCAUGGACCCUAAGUUAAGCUUCCAUAACGUUUGGUCGAUUCCUGAAAUUUGGAGAGAGAAGUUCUUAGUUAUCAAAUUUGAAUAUUCAUUAUUAAAUGCAAUGAGUUAUAUUCUAAUUACUAUCGUUCUUGACUCACUGCUUGAUUUUCAAGAUAUUAGAUGUCUUUAUUUCAAUGUUAACAUCCAAAUUCACCAUAUUCAGUAUUUUUUAACAAUGCCCAUACAUGUCUCCAUUAGCACAAGAGUUGAGCUAGUAAUUGUCAGGUUGUGUUGGCUUCCAUAUGAUGCCACUACCCUAGUUGCAUGACAUGUUUGAGUGUUUUAGGACGUGGUCAUUGUGCCUUAGGUUUCCAUACCGUUGAGCGUAGUGUGCCAGUUUGGAGUUUCACACCAAUACCGCAACCUCAACAAGGAUUAUGCAAUAUUAUAAAGGACAAAAAUUAGAUUCGUAAAACUUCUAUAUUGGGACGUUGAGUGUGGCAUUAGAAUGGAUGGUUUUGACCUCCAACAGAAUUAGGGUAAUUGAACAAUAUCUUUAGCUCAAAGAAGUUGUGCAUCUGAAAUGACUCAUUUUGGUGUUAUAGAUUUACUACAUAUUGUCACCCCUCCUUCACGGAGAAGCUUUGAUAAUUGAAGAACAUUGCAAAAUUUGGGAAAGAUUUAGGACUAAUACGCUAAGGUGAAAUGAAAUCAACGAAUUUUCAUUAACACGUAACAAGAAACUCAUGGCAUGAACUAAGACUGGUGAUUUGGAUUUUAAGGGGACUAAAAUCGGUGAAACAUUUGCAAGGACUAAAGCGUAAACUUUAUAUAUAUAGGGACCAAAAACAUAUUUUUUAAGUCCUUGAAAUAUAAGGGUGAAUCUAAAUUGGCCAUUGAAAAUUUUCCGCAUAGCUUAUGGUCCCUUAUUUUUUCCUUAAAAUAAGGAUACAUGACGAUAUAACCCAAACCCUAAUACCAUCUCUAACGACGAGGGUCAUGGAUCCACAAUUUUCUAGUGACUACUUUAACCUUCAUGUCCCUCCUUUCCACCCCCUUCCCUACCUCCCUCUCUCCUCCACCCCUACCCCACAACCAUGUAAAUUGUUAAAUAUUAAAUUUACUCUAUCAUAAUAUUAAUAAUUAAUACGUUUAAAAAUUAUUAAUAUUAUUUUGAAAGAAUUAAUAAUUAAUAAUAAAUUGCAAAAACAAAUAUGAGAAUAUAAGAUGUUAAUAAGAAUAAUUUAAUGAUGGCAUUAAUUGGUUACUACUUAAGUUUAAAAUUUUAAUAUUAUUAAGUACAUUAACUAUUAAAUUUUUUAAUAUUGAAAUUACUUUAAUAUCAAUUAUUAUUUGAAGGGAAAUAUUAGAAAAUAAUCAAGCAAUACUAUAAAAUUUUAAAUAAUUAUUAUAAAUAUUAAAUUUUCUAUGUAAACCAUUAUAAUCAAUCAUUAUUUUUUAAAAAUAUUUAAAUUUUAUAAUGUAAUAAAUUAAUUAGCAGACUAUUUACUUUAUUUUUUUAUUAUAUCUCUUCCAAAUCAUUAAUUUAUUAUCACAGUUUUUUUAUAUUUUUAAAGUUAUUUUAAAUAAAAAUGUUUUUGAGAAAACAAUAGCAACUAUAUUAAUUGAAUAAUAAUUUUAAAUCUCUUAAUUACCAAUAGGUAUUUUAUUUAUCAAGUGUAAAAUUCGUAUAUUGACAAAUUUUAUUUACGAGUUAGUUUAAACAUAUAUGAUGAACCUUUGAACGGUGUAUACAGAGAAUGAUUUACUGAGAGAAAUUUACUCACUUAAUGUGAACAUAGAGCCUCAAGAGUUAAAUAGCAAUGAUAUAAAAAACACAUCUCAUGAUACUUUAAAUAACAAUGAUAUAAAAAACAUAUAUCAUGAUACUUUAAACACCUUACGUCUAAUGACACAUGCCCUGUGUGGUUUGGAAGUUUUUUUUUUUGUUACAGGAGGAAAAUUAACGGCAAAGCAUCGCGAUAAAGCGAUGCAGAAACAAAUGAUGGUGGCCUUUUCCACACUUGCAAAGGCGAUCCAACUUUAGACGCUUCUCGUGCUAGAGUAUCAGUCGUGUUAUUCUUCUCCCGCGCUACUUGAACCAACGUACAGCUCUGGAAAUUCCCCAUCAGAUCUUUCACCAUCUAAAUAUCGUCCUGAUCCCAGAAUGUGCUCAUAUUCCCUCCUGGUUGAAGAACACUAACCAAAUUAGCACAAUUAGAUGCGCAUAUCACUUCCCUCAAGUCAAGCUCCAUAGCAUGCUUCAAAGCUAGUUCUAUUGCCCGGAUUUCAGCCAGAAACGCGCUGCCUUGCCUAUCGCUCAAAGAAACUGUAGAAACCCACCGCUCUGUGCUGUCCCGCACCACUGCCGCACACCCCAUUCGACCAGUCAUCGGGUUCCAACUCCCGUCAACGUGAAUGCGCAGCCGGCGGUGGUUCCAAGCCUUGAAAGGUAGUGACAUUUAACUGAGGGGAAUUUGCAUGUGGCUGUGACAGGGCGUUGCGCUACAGCGCCUUGUCCCUGAUUCAUGUUGGGCCGCAAAGAGGAUAAAUCGGGAUCGUCACAUUGGGCUUACAUGUGCACACCACAAGUGGAUUAGACACCACAUCUUUCACCCAAAACCUUAAGACAUUGGGAGUAUGGGUCCUCUCACUUAUAAAGUAUUCAUUACUCUCCUAAUCUUUCAAUGUGGGAUUUCUUACUCACACUUGACAUCCUAAUAAUUCCUCUCAUAAUUCCUUUCGUUCAUGGUUGGAGAGCCUCAUGCGUCCAGAUAAUAUAUGGGCAAUGAGCCAUGUCGCAGUAAUAGUGUGGGUUGUGUGGUUGAGAAGAAACCGAAAGUAUUUUCAUGGAUAUCUCAUAUUUGUUCUCAUUCCUUAAGCAUGGCCUUAUCCAUGACUAAUGCAGCUAGCUCCCCUUUGAAUGAAGCCUUGCAUCGGCCAACAGUGACAGAUCAUGUUUCAUGGAAACGUCCUACUCCGGGGCUCCUGAAAGUGAAUUUUGAUGCUGCUCACUCUAACUCAAAUGGGACGGGUUUUGACUUGAUCAUCAGAAACAAAUUUGGGAAUUUGGUGGCUGCUGCAUACCAUCGCCCACCACGACAAAUGAGUCUCACCUUGGCAGAGGCAACUUGUUUUAAGUGGGCAUUACAACAGUGCUUGAUUUGGGGACUUUCCAACGUUUCUUUUGAAACUGAUUGCAUCACUCUCACUCAGGUUUGGAAUUCCAGGGCUUGCUCGCGGUCUUACUUGCAAAGUGUUUUGGAGAAUUGCAAAGUGCUUAUACAGGAGUUAAGCUUUGUCAUCAUGUUUCUCUUUCACAUGUAAAACGCCACUUUAACAUGGCUGCAUAUUUUAUGUCUAAAUUUAUUUUUUUCUUUCUUGUGACUAUGUAUGGUUUGACGUGGGUCCUAUCCGUCUAGGCUCUAUUAUGUUAGAUGAUCGAUGCCCCGUUGCUUUUUAAUCAAUGAAGUUAUUUGGUUGGACCAUAAUAAAAAACACAUUACGUAUUUUAUUAUUAAAUAUAUGCAUUCCUUUUACUUGGAACUAGUGAGUAUUAGGUUAUUAAAACUUAUUUACACGGGUAAGUACAUAGAAAUUAAUUUCUAUUAUUUAAGGUUGGGCCCAUGAACACCUAAACCCUAGGAUUCUAACCAAUCCAGUUUUUUCACCCAUAAUUAAUUUUACCACUGUGCUUUAAUUUUACCAACCAAUCCAGAUUUCUCUUUCAAGAAAAUGGCUGCACUUCUGAAGAAGACGGUGGGAUGUUCAAGGUGGCUGAGGAGGAGUUUUUCGUCAACACCCCCGCCUCCGCCGAUGCCGGAUCGGUGUCCCAAAGCCGCUGAGGGAUACACCCUGAAUGUGAAGGGCUCAUGGCUUCUAGCGGAGGAGAAGGUGGUGUGGUUUGGUGGUGCCCUACGGGACGAGGAUGGUAUGUGGCUUUCAGGGUUUGCUCAACGAGCCAAGGGGAGUCAGAUCGAAGAAGCGGAGUUGAGAGCUUGUGAAAAGUGCAUGCUGAAGUUCCUUCAUUUUAAUCAACAGUCCAAAAUCACUCUCUUCGGUGAUUCUUGGGAUGUAGUCAACUGGCUCAAUGGCACAAUGAUUCCCAAGCAGCCUCAUAUUAACAAACUGUUGGCGAUAGUUCUCAGAGUCAAGCAGCAAUGCAAGGACCAGGGUACGGAUUACACUUUUGCGUUUGCUCAUAGCCGCAGGAAUAGGGUUGCAUAUUCUGUCGUCCAAUAUGCUAGGAACAAGGGAGAAGCCGGCAAGACAUACGAAUGCCCUCCUGAUCACAUUGUCAUGGAACAUUUGAGGGAAGAUAAGGAAUCUUGGGAUUGAUUGAGGUUUGUUUUAGAUAAUUGUUUAAGAGAACAAGGAUUCACUAUUGAUGCACGGGCUACUUACUAGUAUACAUAAAGUGCCACUGAUGUUAAUUUCUUACUCAUUGAGUUGUUUGAUUUUAUCUCCAUCAUAUCAUAUGUUCCUAGAGUAUCUAUUUUAUUUUUAUAUGUAUGGUGUUGUUACUUCUACCACCAACCCACCCUGCAAAUUACAGUAUCUAUUUUGGUAUAUCAUCUUUGUGUGUUUGGUUGUGAAUAGGAACCCAACAUUAACCAGUAACCAUAUAAAAGAUCACAGCCAAUAUAGGAUAACUGAUUACUUUUAAAAGGAAAUCCUGAAGAAAUUAUGCCUUAGGCUUUUGCUAUAUGAUUGUCCGUGUCAGCUGGUUUAUUGUCUCCAAAAUCAAUCAAUGUGCCACACUCCUCUCUCAGCUAGCAUCUGGGUCUAUUUCUACAUCAGCACAUACAUAUAUCACUUCCAGUUCAUCUUACUUCUUGAAAGCAAUUUUCUCAUCCUGCUAGCUUUAAGUUGAGCAAGUCUCUCAGCUUCCACCACUUCAGCCUUUAAGAAAAGAACAAAAUCAUCAGUUAGUAUCAUUUUAGGAGGUAACAAUUGUGACAAAAUCCUUCUAUUUGACUGACUUUUAAAGUAGUCUCUCUACACUACCCGUGCUCAAUUAGAGAUUUUUAUCCUAUCCUUCUCUUUGACACUGACUUCAUUUGGUAUUAUAAUGGUGAAAGCUAGAGAAUCAGAUAGAGAGCCAGUAUGUACUGGUCUUCUUUAUUAAAAUAACUCAUCCUAGAAAAUUUGUAAAUGCAGUGCCUCAACAGUAGUCCAGAUGCUAUACUAAAUGUAGUGUUUAUGGAUUAGAUUAAAAAAAAGACAAUUAUAAUUUCUAUAAUACACUAAUAUGAAGUAACUAGCAGUUAAAUAAGUUUCCUAAUCAUCAUUCGUAUAGGAUGCUGCUAUUGAAAUAGCUUUUCUGGCUAUAUUUUCUACGACCCUACCCAUUUCAUAAACUAUUUUUCCGGGUUUAACUACAACCACCCAAUAUUCGGGAGACCCCUUUACUCUUGUUAAGUUUUUAUUAAAUAGUUACGCCACUUGGGCAGUUAGUUAUGCCACGUAGGAAUGUGGUUAUCACCUAGCAACUAAAGAGACAUGACGACCAACCUAGCAACAAGCAAAAUUAUAGUCUAAACAUUCUUUGAUUUGAUUGGAGCGUUGGAGUGCCUUUUAUAGAAACUUCACAGCCAUCUCUGCUCUUCCAAUUUAUAUGAUCGAGCAUCGUCUUGAUAAGUCAGAGUGCAACUUGCUGGCCAGUGUUAUAGAGCAUGAGAAUAACACAUGAAUGAUCAAUACUAAUUACAUGCUCUUUUUUAGAAUUUGGGAGGGUUUGUUUCAAGUUUCCCUGUAUCCUAAGUUUGAUACAUUUGUUUGAACUAUCAACGAUACUUUUAUGUUUAGAAAUUCUAAUCCAUGAAAUAUUUCAAGUUUUCAGCAACUUUUAUUAAUAUGACUCUACCGAAAAAAGAUAAAUGAAUAGCUUUUUUUUUAGCUUGUGAUUUGUAUUGUUGGUUGACAUUGUAAGCACAAGCUAAUAUGUGCGUGCGUGUAAUUUUAGUGUAAAAUUGAAAACUCCAGGUUUUAAUGUUUUCAAAACUUAUAAUAUGCUUCACAAGUUUGACAAGUGUUUCAGGCUAAAAGUAUUUGAAACAACAUGUGCAUGCAUCAUGUAAUGAUAGAGAAUGAGAGAAGCGAUUCCAAGCAGCAAGAGGAGAAGCAGAAGAAAGAAAGAGAAUAAGUGUUAAACAUCCUCCCUCAAGAAUAAGUGUUAAACAUCCUCAAGAGAUGAAAGCAUAAUGAAUUCAAACAUGCUUCAAUUUUUAAGAAAGAUCAAAGAAAUUAAGAGUCUGAAUUAAAAGUGGUUAUCAUUCAAGCAUAUGAGCCUAUGAGUAAAAAAAAUAAGACACCAACCACAUAUUUACUUAAAAUUAAGGGGCUCGUUUGGGGGUGAUUGUUGGUUUUAAGUUUUUGGUUUUUGGUUUUCAAAUGGAAAUUUGAAAACAAAACGUGUUCGAAAAAAAUGGAGCUAAAAUAAGUUUUUACUUAAUUUCAAAAUUGUUUUAAGAUUAUGGUUUUUAGUUUCAAUAACAUGUAAUAUCAUCACAACCAACACCCACCACCCUCCACAGCCACCACAACCACCUUCGUCACCACCGUCACUAUCGGAGCCAACAUCCACCAGUGCCGCCACCACCACCAUCAUCCACCACCACUACCACCCUCCAACACCACCUCCUCCACUAUCACAUGCGCCAUGAUCACCACCGUUGCCACCGCCACUACUAUUGCAAUCGCCACCACCACCCUCCAACACCACCACUUCCACCUCCUCCAUCACUACAAUCGCCACCGCCACCACGUUGUUGCCACUACCAUCAUCGUCACAACCGCCAGGUAACAUUCCUGGACCGCUCGGCGAUAUGGACCGGACGAGACACCAUUACUAGGCUGGACAGACCACUUCAGGGGACACAUCCGGGUCGUCUUAAGACUGGGCCGCGUGGACACAACAUUGACACCGAGCUGGUCUAGUUACUCCAAGAGGCCCAUCCAUCCAAAAAUACUCUAGGGCCAACACAUGCAUGAUGCUUUGACCAGAUCGAUGACUCACCCAUCCGCGAAUCACGGUAGAGUCAAAGCUACAUUCAGGUCCCCCUCAAUCACAGAUGACGCACAAUCACAGCACGGAUGACUCACAAUCACAGCACGGAUGACUCACAACCACAGCACGGAUGACUCACAACCACAUCACGGAUGACUCGCAAUCACAGCAUGACCGGCGGGAAAAUCAAGAAGCCCACCCUGAUCAGUGCGACCCGAACGUUUUAGUCAAUGGACUGUGUAAUAGGAAUGAGAGCUAGGGUUAGAGACUCACCCACUAUAAAAGGGGGUCUUCUGUAUGUAUCAAAUCAUUCUUUUUCUCACUUGAGCAAUACACCUAGUCUUUUUCAUUGGUCUACUGACUGAAAGUUCAUUCGUGAACAAUUCCCAUCCACCAACACACCUUCAUCGCUACCACAACCACCACUACCGAGUUGGCACCACCACCGAGUUGGAACCACCACCUGCACUACCACCUUCACUGGCAUCACCACCACAACAAAUGUUGGGACAUGCUGCUUGAUCACACCGCUAAGAAGACUUCCGAUGAAAGAAGUUGCUACCAUGGCUACAUCAACAAUCGACAAUACCACUUGUUGGGGAGACACUGGGAGCCAUGUGCCAAGGUAACAGGACAUCAAGAGAAUCCAACACCACAUCUUUACCUAAAACGUUAAGGAAUUAGGUAUAUGAACCAUAUUUCUUAUAAAGUUUUCACUUCACUCAUAUUUAACCAAUGUGAAAUUCAACUCACACUUAAAUUUUUAAUAAAUAUUGAGCAUGAAAAAAAAGCAUCAAGGAAAGAGGGUCAGAGGAAGGGUAGAGAUAAUUUGAAUAAGAGAAUUUGAGAAAAUACGUGUAUAGGUUUUACAUAGUUAAUUUUUUUUUGUAGAUAUGAAAAAUAACAAUAAAAAAACAAAAGAAAAAAAUCAGUUAGCCAAAUUCUUGGAGGUUUAAGACAACUCCAAGAGGAAUACUCAAUGUUCUGAACUGCAACCUAUCUCGUAAGCCAUACUAAGAAAGCUCAUCUGCAACUCGAUUCUGAUCCCUCGGAAUGUGAUAGAUCCUUACAUCCCAGCCUUGGUUCAGCAGGCUCCUAGCCUUCGAGAGAAGCGCAACAGACGCAUGAAGGUCAAUGGAGUUGCCCUAAGUCAAUCCACACACUACGUUUAAUUAACACAAUUAGACUCAAGCACCGUUGUUCGAUAUCCACACUACUAAGUCGAGUGCAGUCCCCAAACGACGGCCAAAAGCUCAACCAGAUAAGGAUCCCCAUCACCUUCUAAACCAGUGAAACCUAUCAACCACGCGUCAGUAUGGUCCCGCACCAGCCCCCCACAAGCAAUCCUUGAUGAUGAUCGAUCAUAGCUUCCAUCAACGUCGAGUUUUAACCACCCCACUUCCGGAGCACACCACGAAAUUGUGCUACAUCUAGACUAGUCUAGAGCACCCAAAAUGCGAGGGAACUCCUCCAAAUCUUGAUGAUUUUUACGCUCCACCACUUAAAUAGGCCAAGCAUCGGGUCCAACACCAUGUUAUUCCUGCACCUCCAUGUCCACCAAAGAAUCAACAACAAUUGGGAAGCUUGAUGAUUCACCAAUGGUGCCUCCCACCCAGCUCCAACACUCUCAUCCACAAUAAAAUUAUGGAGUGCAAGCAACCAAAAUGGUCCCAUAUGGAUUCAAAUGCGGGCAGUCACGAAGGCAAUGCAAAAUAUCCUCCAACUGAGCAAAACAACAAUUGCAAGUUCCAGAAAUAGUGAGGGAGCAGGUCAUAUGAUGACCAUUAGUUGGGAAUGACCCGAGAAGCAUUAGCCAAACCUGAAAUUUCAUAUUCUAUUGAAUUAACAAUCAAAAGUUUGUUUAAAUAAAAAUCAAAACUAAUAGAUUUUUUUUUUGAAACACUAAAUAGAUGAUUGACCACUAUCAUAUUUUUUUAAACGAUUAAAAUCAAUAUAUUUUUUUUGUACAUCAGAAAGAUAAAUUGCACCCGCCAUGAAUCGAUCAUUGGACCUCUCCCUACCCAAUACAUUCCCUCAGCUUCUACCACUUGAUCUAUCCUAUGGGGACAAACGAUUAAUAUCAAUAUAAUAGAAUUAUGCAUGACUGAAAUAUAAUCACUAUAUUGAUUACUAGAAAUAAAUUGCAAAUAUUAAAUUCAAAUUUCAAUUAAUCAAUCAUUUUAUCAUUUUCUUACAAAAAAAAAUCAAUCAUUUCAUCAUAGAUAAAUAAAGAAAUUAAUUAUUUUUUAUUAUAAUUUCCGCUAUUGUUACAUAAUAUCUUACUGGAUAUUUUAAAAUGACUUAAUAUCUAUUUUUUUAAUUGAUAACUAAAAUAUACAUUACAAAUAAUUUUUUCUGUUGUCAAAAAAAUAAAAUAAAAAUUAUCAUUAAAGCAUUAAUCAUACUAAUUUAUAAAAAAAUUGAAAUGUAAAAUAUCUCAGUGUUUUCACUUGCAAUCUUUUUUUUUUGACGGGCCACUUGCAAUCUUAUAUCUCCUUAUUUUAUUUAAUUUUUAAAUCUGACCUGCAAUAUUUAUGUGUAAAUUAAAAAUAUUAAUGAAUAAUUAAGAUUUAUGAUUAUUGUUUAGAAAUCAAUUAUUUAUUUUCUUGUUCUAUUUUAAGCAGUUUAGAAAUUUAAAUAUUUUUUCUCAAAAAAAGAAUAAAACGAUUUUGAUCAUAAUAAAAGUACAAACAAUAAAAACCUAAUUAAUUUAUGAAAGAAACCGUUAACAGGAACGAUUUUUUUGUGAUUUGUUUUUUGUAUUCAUAAAAAAUAUGCUUAUAAAUAAUAUUAUAUUACUAAUUAAGUUUUGAUGUAUUUUGCUAUAAUUUUUAAUUCCUGGUCAGAAUUGAGCCAGGGAGAAAUGUAUUCCUAAAAUACAAAAAUAAUUCCAUAUUAAAAACUAAACAAUAUUUUACACGGUCAAUAAUAUUAAGGGGAAAAAAUCUGCUAAAAUUUCAUAAAUCAUUGAAUUUUUAAAUCACAGCAAUGAAAUUUUUAAUUAAUAGCUUCACAAAUAAUAUCCAAUAUAUUUAAUUAUUAUUAUUAUUUUCAUAAUCCUCGAGAUUUCUUUUUUCAGUUUCACCAUAUAUAUUAACUCAAAAUAAAAAACAAAAUCAGAAACAACAAACACGAAAUAAUAAUAAUAUUAAUUAGCAAUAAUUAAUAUUUUGUCAAUUUUUACCUCAAAAUUCAAACUCAGCAAAAACAACAGGCCCAGCCCCUUUUAUUUAUUUAUAUAUAUAUAUAUAUAUGCAUAGGAAAAUAAGAUUAUAAAGCACAAAUUGUCAACAAAUUCAUCUUUUCUGAAGAAAAAAAUUCAGAAAAUCCAAAAUUGAAAAAGAACCGUACGUUUAUGCUAAAAAAUAGAUCAAAAGACGUGUUUCUGGCGGUUUCUGCACAGUACUCAGUGUUUCUUCAAACACCGCCACGUUCGUAACCACCACCACCACUUUUUCUUCUUCACCCACAAGCCAAGCUUGUACCUUUGUUUCAAAAACCACCUAAGAAUCCCAAAGGGUAUCUCAUUCUGAUUCAUGGAGGACCAGGCUCAUUCCCAGAAUUCCACCCUGCAGAACGGGUCAGAAAUCAACAAGGAGCAAGUGGCGGCGGCGGCGGCCGCCGGAGGCGGCGGAAACACCGCACCAGAAUCCGCCGUCGGAGAAGCGUCUGUGGCUGCAGGAUCAGGACAGGUGGUGAAAAGGGGGAGGGGGAGGCCACGGAAAAACCAGGCUAAUGGGAGCCACCCGCCGCCGGCGACGCCGCCGCAGCCGGAAUUGGCUAUUCAACUUUAUGGAGGAGGUGAUGUUGUCAAGCGAGGCAGGGGACGCCCUCGUGGUUCUGGGAAGCUGCAGAUUCUGGCUUCCAUUGGUAAGUUUCUUUCUUUUGACUUUGUGGUUGUAUCUUUUGAUGUUUUUCAUGUUAGCUUAGAAUGAAUGUGCCUCUUUUGAAAUCUUAGUUGGAAAGUUUUCCCCUUUUUUCAAACAAAAAUAGCUUGGUUUAGAUUAUUUUAACCUUGUUCAAUCUCUUAUUUUAAAAUGAAAAUUGUUUCUCUAUUCUUAGGUUGAAUUUGUUUGGAAAUGUAAAGUUGAAGCAAAUGAUUCUUGAAUAAUUUCACUUCAUAAAUUCUUAUCAAUAAGAUGCUUAAAGUGAAUGACAUAUGAGUAAAAAAAUAAAUAAACUCGUUAUCUUGAGUCAUUUACUCAUUCCGUUUCUUUUUAACGAUUUAGAAGAGAGGACUAAAAAAAACGAUUUAGAAGUGAGAAAAAAAAAACACAUAUUAAGGUGUACUAUUAUCUAUUCUUAUUUAUUCUUUUUAUAAGGUCUUAUUGGAAAAUUGUCAAUUAAUACUCUCUUGAUUUUUAAAAGGGAAAUGAUUUUUGACACUACUAAUUUAUUACACGACCAUGCACGAUUGAUUGUCCACUGUUAGAUAUAUAUGUAAAAUCAUAAUUUUCUCACUCAUAUACCCAACAUGAUGUCUGUCAAUGACUGAAUAUAAUGGGUCGUGAUAAUCGUGCUAAAAAAUUGCAGUGCCAUGCCAUAUAGCAAUAUCAUCUUUAAAAAAAAUUCUAUGUUGCCGGUCAAAUAAGAAAUUCUAUGUUGACAAAUAUGUAAUUGUUUUUCUUCUUCUAGACUUGUUUUUUUAGGGUUUAGGGUUAGGCCUUUGUCCAAUCCAGAAUGUUAUAGAAAUCCGAGACAUGAAUUUGUGUUUGAUAUCGUUUUGCACUUUUUUCUCAUGCUUGAAGCAUUAUAUGUUGCAGGGGGAUUAGUCACUGAAACAGCCGGGGGAGGCUUCACUCCUCAUGUGGUGAAUGUGAACACUGGGGAGGUAAUAUAAGACUCAUACAAAAAUUGUUCAAAAUUAAAGUAAUAGAAUUUGUUUGAAUGUUAUUCUCAACUGAGAUAGUUAUGUUUUCGAUCAUUUUCAGGAUGUGGUCAGCAAGAUAAUAUCAUUUUUUCAGAAAGGCCCUAGGGCAGUUUGUAUACUUUCUGCUAAUGGUCCUAUAUCAAGUGUCACCAUUCGCCCACGUGGUGCUACUAAUAUUUUGAGAUAUGAGGUACAAUACAAUGUAGAAACAAUCUUCUAUGUAAUAGUUCACUUGAAUUUUUCACUAUCGUAUGAUAUCUCAAAAUAUAAUUAUGUAUAGUUAUGUAUAGUAUGCACUAAAAAACAAGUAUCCUAGGUCACUUAGUUGUAUAGAUCAAAAGGCAGUAGACAUACCCCAUUAACAGAGGUGUAGGCUGACCCAUAUGGGCUUAUCCCAAUAACCCAAGUUAAAGUGUGGGCUGUAUUCUAGUAAAGUUCAAAUCCAAUUUAAACAGAAAUAGAUGUUUAUUAUUAUUUUUUCUAUUUUCAUGUCUUUAAUUUUUAUGUAUAUGGUGGAAAAUGAUUAAACAUUUCUAAAAAUAAAUGGCUCCUUGGUUGACUCGUUUAACCCUUAGAAGGUGGGGUGAACUGAAAAUUAAAGAGUCCGUUUGAAUUUCAGGACAACCAAAUCUGACCCAAAAAUGUGUCGGCCGACUGCAAACUUGUUGAAUGGGUUGGGCCAACACUAGCCACUACAUGAUUCUAUAGACACAACACCUUACCCUUUAUUUAUGCCGUUCCUAUCCCUUUUUUCCUUCUUGCUUGUUAGUACUUUUUAGUUUCUUGUUAUUUUCUUAAUAAAAGUUCAACUUUGAAGCCACCUAAAUUUUGCAUGUCAUGUAUAUAGAUCAUCAUGUAUAGAUCAGCUCAAGAUUUUGUGUGUGAAUUUGUAUUUAAAUUAGUUUUAAUUUUUGUAUUUUAUUCUGCUACAUACAGGGUCACUUUGAAAUUUUGUCCUUAAUUGGAUCAUGGACCUCUUCUAGAGAUGGGGGUGCAUGUAUGAAAAAUAGUCAGUUAACUGUUUCAUUGGCUAAACCCGAUGGAACGGUUUUCGGCGGGAAUGUUGAGAGCUCAUUAAUAGCGGCUGGCCCCAUUCAAGUAAGAAUAAAUUUUUUGAUGUAUCCAUUUAAGACGGGAAUGACUUAGGUUUAUCUAUGUUUUCCUUCUAGUUGAUAUAUAUCCUUUUAUUUCACUAUAGCAAGUAAUGUUAUUGAAGCUUGAAUGACCAAUAGGCUUCAAAACAUAUUUGACAGGUGAUUCAAUCAAUUACAAAAAAUUAAGUCAUAAUAGUUAUAUUCUGCACAUGAACUUACCCAUAACAUGAACUUACCCAUAACCUUAACUUUGCUUUUGGGGUAGGUUGUACCAUGAUCAUUAGUAGAAACACAACUAUAUUUAUAUCCUAAAGGAGGAGUAAAAUCAGAUAUCUACUUGCAGUAUGUUACUUUUGUCCAAAAAUAGAUUGAUCAUUAAUUCCUUGCAUGUAUACUUGACAUGGGAGUUAAGUUUAGUUUGAAGUACUAUAUUUUACUUUUUAUUCAUUAUUAUGUCGCACUGAUCCUUCAAUAACUAUUAUCAAUCUUAACUCUGAGUUUCUCUUUGUCCACCAGCUUAUACUGGCCACUUUCAAACAAAACAUUAGCAAUCAAAUUAAGAAAAGGCGCUCAAAUGGAUCAUCCAAUGUUCCAAGCAUGGCAGGUAAUCCAGAUUCAACAAAAGUGGAUCUCCAGAAAGUUCCUAAGUUGACAGAAGGCGAGUCCAGUUGUCCUUCACCAACAUCAACACUAAGGCUAAUAGCACCAAGCAAUGGCUUAGUUGAUGAUCCCAUUACUGAAACAACAAAUGCAGUGCCAGAAAAUGUCACUAUUGCAGACAAGAAUAUGCAUUUUGAGUCAGUUAGUGGUGUUGACCUUGAAUACCACUAUGCAGUCUAAUGCAGAACAAGAUAGAACAUUUGCAUAUGUUAAUGAUGCUAGUGCCUCUCAGAUGUAGAAAUUUAUAUAGACCCUUUCAAGCUUUUAGUUGCAAAGAACAAGUUUGUUUUUUCUUAGUUAUGUUUACCUGAACAUUUUUCUAGUGAGUCUUUAAAAGGGUAAAGUUGCUUACAUUGUUUUCAAAGGUUCGAAAGAACUUGCUAGUAACAUCACAACAAUUAACUAAAAACCUACAAUUGCAGAUAUUGUAAUUGGAUAUGUUUAACUUUCUUUUUGACUAUAUAUUAUACUGCUUUGAAGAAUUUACUAAACAUUUUACCUGUGUGAUUCACGGUUCGCACAGGACUAUUUUAAUGUCCUAUUAUUUUUGCUAUUUAUUCAUGAUCAAUAAUUGAAGCAUUCAACCAAGAUACAAAUUUAGGACAGAGAGUAAGACGAUGUAUCAUAUAUUUUGGGGCGUUUGCCCUCCCAAGUAGCAAGAAAAAAGAAAAGAAAAGAAAGAUGUAUCAUAUAUUUUAAAUUUAAAUAUCUAUUAUUUUUCUCUUUUAUCCCUAUUUUGUGUGUUGGGUGGAUUUAGAAUGUAACCAACCAUAUGAAACGGACAAAAAUAUGUUCACAUAUUAAAUUCACUCACCCCUAUAUAAUAUGAAGAGAAUAUAGAUAAAUGAGUUGAUAUGUAAGAAGAAAAAUGAGUGUAUAUGAGGUUAAAGAUAAUGUGAAAUCUGAAUGUAUAAAAACAGAACAACCAAACUUCAUAGGAUUGCUUAAUUAAUGUGAUCAUACAUUAGCAAAUAAUUGGUAAUUUUUUGCAUCAAGUACUAUCUGUCUAACUGCUGCUAUUGCUGCAAUACCUCCUAAUGCAGAGAAAACCACAGCAAUGGUUACAUUCAACCAGAAAAUGGGACUUCUCUUAGAUGGCUUAAAAGUUAAAUUGAAGAAAACCACUGGCAAAAUGAAGUCAAGUGGCAUAAAGCCAAAAGCUCCAAUAAGCGAGUUUAUGUCCCCAAAAAAUGGAAGCAUGGCUGCUAUGGUGGUUGCAAUAGCAACAGAUAAUGACCGCGAAAUCACUCUAGGGAUCAUAUUGCGGCAGGAGAAUUCAGGGCUUUUUGGGUCCCCAAAUGUUUGCUCCAACACUUCAUUUGUGGGCUGCAAGUACACCUGCAUUAAUGUUAAAAAUCCAUUGAUUUAGCUACCAAUUUGGCUCUGUUACUGACCGAAAUUUCGGUCAAUAAUGGAUGAUUUUCUUGUAGUGAGUGGCAAAGUUACUUACCACACCAACUGCUGAUAAUUGUGUUAUGGUGAAAAUGUUGGUCAUGUUAAUAAACCACUUGCGCACUAAAGGCCUCCCAUUGUCCACAAAGUUGCUUAAGAUUAAGCCUUCAGAUUUGUUGCCAAAUGCCCAAUAACCAGAUAUAGCUACACUAAAGAAAGUGAUUAUAAGUACAGUGUAACAAACACUUAGUCCCUUGAACAUCUUCCCUUUUACUGGUGGUGCUAAUGUAGCCUGCCAAAGAAAAAAAAUACAAGAGCAAGUAAUGAGAGGGAAAGAGGAUUUCUUAAUUACAAAGAACAAUAUGGUGCAAUGUCAUUAAAAUUGGAUCAGACCAGCCUAUUGGGAACCAGACCUAUGACCGGUCUAGUCAUGAAUUUGGAUUCGAUUUGCUAUUUAACCGGUCAGAAUCGAUCGAUCAUAAGCAAAUCGAAUUGGUCAUAUUACAUGGUUGAAUCGGACUGGUGACUAGUCAAAUACAGUCAAACACACCUUGUUUGAUGUAAAAAACAUAAGGUGAGUUUAAUGAGAGGGAAUUGAACUAUUAUUCAAACCUGAAUUUCUGGAAUUAUUCCAUUUCCGUAUGCAGUGGCAAUGAUGGCAAGAGCAUUGAACAUUCCAAAUAAGCGAUUCUCUGUAUCACCUUUCAAUGAAUAAUCCUUUUCUGGUCCUUUUGAUGAGUCUCCUGUAGUAAUUUUGGCCAUGUCCAUGCCAAAACAAAACCAUUGAAUCAUCAAGCAUAUUAUUCAAUUACAAAAGAGAAAGUUAAGGAGAUUGAGCAAAUAAAUACCAAUGUAUAUGGAACCAACAGUAGCACAUGCACUAUAGACUAAGCACAGAACCAAGGACACAAGAUUGAUGUGCCUCAAUGAGUGGAAAGAUGGGAUUUGAGCUAAAAUCAGCAUGAAGCAUCCAAAUAUGAUUACAAACUCGUAAAGCUUCAUGGUCCCAUUUGGAUUCGCCAAAAGGUAAAUUGCCUGCAUUUAAUUCCAUGAAGAAAAAACAAAUAAAAGGGGUAAAGAACACAGUGGAAUUGUUAAAUGUGUGUCUUUGAUUCAUGUAUUUGUCAUGAGAAGUUGAAGAUUUUACCUUCAUGCAUUGUCCUCCCAAAAGAGUACAAGCCACUACAGCACCAUAACAGACUGCGAACUGAAUUGGCCCCACAAAGUAACGACCCCAUCGUGGACCUGCCAAUAUAUAUUGGCGGACGCAUCAUAUAUAUAGAAUCACGUACACGUUGAAGCUAACGUGUUAAAAUAUUAUUUCUCUGAUCUACCUUAAAAUCAACGUGGUAAAUUUUAAUUUUUGUAUUAGUGCUUUAAAAACAUAAAAUUACAGUUGCAUCCGUUUCAACAUCAAAACAAGCGUGGAUAUGAUAAUGAGUUCUUUACAAAGAAAAUAAUUAUAAUUUUUUUAGAAUUGAUAUUGACAUUUAAUUUAUCUUUUUAGUUAAUUUAGACCCGUCAUUUUGUGACUCUGUCUUACUAAAUCCGCAAUUAUUAGGUCUAGUCGUCUAGCGACGAGUUUCGAUUUUAAACCUGCCUAAUUAAUAUUUAGGGCCGGUGUAAGACAAACUCAAUUCAUCUUAACUCAUCUCACGAGCAGCCCUACCUCUAGCUAGUACUCAGCAAAAUGAAAGAUCAAUAAUACAAAGAACUUAUAUAAUGUUUAGACAAAUAUUUAUAAAUUUUAUCCUAACAAAUUAUAUUUUUAUGAAAUUUCAUGAAUUUGUUAAUUUUAUAUCAAGCUAUUAAAUUUCAUAUUUUAUUUACAUUGUUUUCAAAUAUUUCAUCGGGAGAGAUACGAGUUUUGAGGAAGUUGCUAACCGCCACAACAUGUGUAUGUCUAUUUAAAAAAGCGGAAGACAUAAUUGUGAAGCUUUAAAACCAUCAUAAUUUUAUGCUUUUUUUCAAUUGUACUACCUCUAUUCCUAAUUAACUGUCAAGUACGAGAAAAACACAUAUAUUAAGGAAUGCGAUUAAUUUUGUUAAUUUUCAUAAAAGUAAUAUGUUUUCUUAUUUCACCCUUUAGAGUGUAUUUUAUAUUUUCUCAUUUAUUGUUUCUGUAAGGGCAUUUCUUGGAAAAAUAUCAAUUAAUGCUCUCUUGAAACUCUAAGUUGAUAGAUAUAUAGAAACAAUUUUUUUCUUCAAAGUAGACAGUUAAUAAGGAACGAGAGUAGUAAUAGUAAAAAACAACCGCAUAAUAAAAUUGUAUGUCACUAGAUUUUUUUUCCCAAAGUCCAAAUAUAUUAAUAAAGAGGAAGAGACUAAGUUCGGAAAUAAGACAAAUGAGAUAACAAAAAUAAAAAUUCACAAUCGUUCAUAAGAAUACACAAACUUCUAAUCACCCUUUAAAGAGAAAACAACAAAAAUCAUCCUAAACCAAAAGAAAAAACCCAAAGAAAGCAAAAUCGAAAAUCUUAAGCAAAGCAAAAACCAAGUAUGUCAUUAAUUAGAUGUUAAUACUAUGAGGAGUUUUCAAGUGUUUUCCAAGUUGCAUGGAUGGAGAGCAAAGUCAUGAGCUCAAUUUCUACAAGUCUAAGCAUACGUAUUGAAUUAAAUAUAAAUAAUAUGAUAAUUUUAUUGUAAUAUUUUUAAAAUUGUAUAUUUCUUGAAAUAUGAAAAAGACUCUAUCACAUCAAAGAGAGCAUAGUCAUAGACUCGUAGUCAUGGGCUCAAUUUCUACAAGUCUAAGCUUACGUACUGAAUUAAACGUAAAUAAUAUGAUAAUUUUAUUGUAAUAUUUUAAAUUAUAUAUUUCUUGAAAUAUGUAAGACUUUAUCACAUCAACCUAGCUAGCUAAAGGCUUAAACUACUAGGAAUUGUUUUUUUUUUAAAUAAGCCAAAUUUGUAGUGAAAAGAAAGUAUAAGGGAUACUUCAAACCCAAUACAAGAAAAUAAAACAGCAAAACCAAAAAAAAUUAAACAACAAACAGUGGGAAAAAAGCUACUCCCUCACCCAGCUGUAGAGCUGUCAAUAUGGGUUCCAACCCGCGAGCCAGCUCGACGGGUUGGCUAAAUGAGCCGGGUUUGAUUGGUUAAAUUCCAGCUUGAAAAGAACUAGGGUUAGUGCAACCCGGCUCGUUUAACCCGCGGGUUAGACGGGCCAAUCCGCGGGUCAAGCGAGCCAACCCGUCGGGUUAGAGUUAUUGUUCAUUAAAAAAAUUAUUUUAUUUAUCUUUAAUUUCAGAUUAGUUUUAUGGAUUAAUUUUAGAUAGAAAAUUGAAAAUUUCCAUUUCUUUUAAUUUGAUUCAAUUUUUUAUGUUUUAUUUAUUGUCAUUAUAUUUUUUUAUCUCAUUUUAAAUGUGCCAGUAAAAUAAUUGUGUUCUUAAAUCCUGUAAACUAAAUUCUUUUUCUAUAUUUCAAACGUGAGAUAAAAAUAAUUCCGUUGAUAAACCUCUUUUUGAUGAGUUGAUACCAAUUUUUAUAAGUAUUUUUUUGAAUUUUUUUUAACAUUUUAAACAUUUUCUAAUCCAAUUUCUCAAUUUUUUAUAUUUAUUUCACUCAACUCGCGAGCCAGCUCGCCAACCCGUGAGCUUGUGACGAGUCGGGUUGGGUUCAUAUUUUUCUGACUCAUUAAAACCCGGGUUGACAUUUUAGAAGUUUAGGGACCAACUUGAAGGCGGUUGACACAUUCAAGGACCAAUUUGACUAUUUACCCGCUCAAUAAUUAAAGGAUUGAAAGCAAGUGUACUAUUUAAUAUUUUUUCUUUCCUCUAUUUCUAUUUAACUGUUUGUUUUGAAGAAUUUUUUUUUCCUAUUUAACUGUCAACUUAGCGUUUCACGUUAGCAUUUUAAGAGAGCAAUAAAUGAUGUUUUUACAACAAAUGUCCUUGUCAGUAUAAUUAAUAAGGAGAGAUAACACAUACGUUAAAUGGUAAAAUAAAAAAAUAAUUCUCACAUUUUUUAAAAAUCAACAAAAUUAAUCACAUUUUUAAUAUGUGUGUUUCCAUUUAAAGUAAACAGUUAAAUAGGAACGGAGAGACAAUUAUGUGAGGACUGAGGAGUGAGGAGCAUGAUAAAUUGAUAAUUAAAAGACCAAGAGAUGUAGAAAAUUCAAUGCAAUAAAUAUAAGACAUUAAGACUUGAAAAUGAAGUAAAUGAAUAUAAUAAACGUGUCCUGUACCUAAAAUGACGCGAGCCAUGUCUCUGAAUCGAAGCUGACGAUUACCCAACUUAGCGUGGUGUUCAAGGACAAGUGAUAUUAAAUUGUAAGAGUAGAAAGUGACAAGAGCUCCAAUGACUAAGCUUAAGAUACCAGCUGUCCAUCCAAGGAAGGUGAAUGCAUAAGGAAGACUCAACAGAGUUGGAGCCACUAUUGAUGUUGUCAAAUGGUAACCAGAGUGUAUCCAUGAACCUACAAGUCAAGUGACAGAACCAGUAAAAGAAAAAUGUAGGAUAAUGAAAAUUUGACACACGAAAUAAAAUAAAAUUGACAAUCAUUAAUUGAAAGAAGCCGUGCAAAAACAAUAUUUAACUACUAUUCUAGUAAGGUUUUCUAUGGGUUCCUAUUUGUGAGAGAUAUUUUAGAAGUUUUUAAUUUUUUUAUAUCAUCAUUUUAGAAUAUCAAUAAGAAUUAAAUGGAUAUACAUCAUCAGUGUAAAUAGAUUUUACACCGUCAUCAAAUUAAAUUCCGCCACAUCAUAAAAUAUAUCUUUGUUUUAAUUAUAAUUUAAAAUAAACGUUAUUGUUUCUCCUACAUGACAUGUUGUGAUUAGUUGUCGAUGUAAAACUGUUUUACACUGGCACUACAUAUUCAUUCAACUCUAUCAAUAAAAUAAUUUGUUUUUUUGUCAUUAACCUAGAUGUCACUACUCUUAUUUUAGGAAAAUAUAAGACACUUCUUUCAAUAAAUUACUAUCUAAUAACUAACAUUUGUCUAUAAAAAAAUCUAAAAAUUUGAACUCAUCUUUUUACCUUUACAAGAACUAGCUUGUCCAUUUUUAAACCAAUAAUUUGUUGAUAAGUUUAUUAUUCAAUUAUGUACUAGCUAAUAAAACUUUUAAAUGUUCAAUUAGGGGGUAAUUUAGAAAAAAUAAUUUAAUUUUUUAUUAAUAUAUGACUAAUAACUAAUUUACACCAAAUUUUUUAAUAUGUGUAAAUUAGUUCAAAACGAUUUAUAAACAAGAGUAAUAAAUAACCCAUUUUCUUUUACCUUCACUAGUAUUUUGUCUUUUAUACAUCAUGAAAAAUUGUUUGCACCAUACACGUGCUCCAAUAAGUCAAAGUGUCAAACAAGGCGGGCGAUAAUGACAAAAUCAUGUCAGUUUUCAUUUAAUAGGUGUGUGUUUAGAACUUCCGUAAUUCUGGGAAAACUAUUAGAAAUAGUAAUUAUAUUUUGUUGACACUUACCUUUCCAUCUAUGAAAUAUAGAAAGAAAAAAAAUAGAUAAAAUAGAACUAUGGCACAUAAUGUGAUAAAAGAAUAAGAGAAGAAACCAGACUUUAGAAAAAAUGCCGUAUUAAUAAAUCAAAGCUCUAAAAAUAGCAACCUCAAUACAUCUGACUACCAAACACCCAUCGACAUCAACUUUCGUGAGGAUUAGUAAGUGGAAAAAACUUUGAAUUUACGGUAAAAGAUCACAACAAAGAUGAAUAUCAAUGAGUAUAGCCACUAUUUAGUGGAUCACCCAUCUUUUCCGUUAAAAUAAUUUUAUAAGGCGGCAACAGUAUGUUAGAAUUCAAACAUAACACUAGAUAAAACCAUCAACAAUUAAGGGAUUCAAGAUAAUCAGCAGCUAAAACAACCACAAAAUGAUUGAUUCUUGAAACUGGGACAAAAAUAAAAUUGGGUACACUAAAUAAUAGGACACUGUUCAAAUUCAUUUCUUAGAAUUGUGGUUUCAUGGUAUGGUGGUAGCACUGGCAGUGCUGGUUGUGGUUGUAGGUUAGGUCAUAGGUGAAAGUAAGAAGCAUGUUCAUUCCUUGAGCAUGGAUAGCUUUCUAAAAAGCCUUCAACCAUGCUUCCAUUUCCACUAUUCUGUGUUUGUUUUUUGAAUCAGGAAGAUGAUGGAAGGGCUAACACUUUUGAAACUUAGGUAAUAUAUAUUCUACUAAUAGGAAAGGUUUGAGAAAAUAAGAAGCCAGGAGAAGAAUCACAGGGCAUUUAAAAUGUUCCAUAAAAAAACUAAGCAGUGGAAGAAGACUUGAAAACCAUAAAAAUUUACCUUUUGAUUUGAGCACAAAGAGAGCUCCUGCAUCAACAUCUUUUUGGUGUUGAAUUUGUUGCGAAGCAUCUGGCUUCUCUGAAUUUUCAUUUACUACUGUUGAGGUUGGAAGCAGAGUACCCAUUUGCCUCUAUCCUGUAUGAGAGCUCUAUCAAAUGAUCCACAUAUAUUUAUAAUGUAUUUGUGAGCGUUGAAACUUCUUUCUAAACCUCGGAACCUCAAAAUCCAACUUUAUAAACCGGGGAUCUCACAUAACUUAAGGUACACACUCCAUGUUCUAUCAUCCCCUAUCUAUUUCUCCACCGUUUUAACUAGAGCGUUGAAAUUUCUUCGCGGGUACCCCACCAGCACAACCUACUGAGAAGCUUAUGUUCUCCCUAAGAAGCACCGCAUGCACUUAUUCAAUCAACAUUCUUUGAAGUUAUUUGACAGGACAUGUACCUAACUACCUAUGAUCAAUUGGCGUCAUUUGUGGAAAAUAUAUAACAAUUUCAUAUUGAUUUUAAUUUCAAGUUUAAGUAUUAUUAUUAUUAUUAUUAUUAUUAUUAUUAUUAAAUAUUUUUUUAAAAAAAAACUAGAUAUAGGAUUCCCUUCACCAUGAAGGAUUCUCCAUCCAGAACAGCAGGCGGUGCAUAGCAGAGGCACAGGGGAUGUGAAGCAUGACAUAGAGCCGAAAUUUUGGAAAAAAAUUGUAGACAGAAACUGGUUACAGAGCUUUUCUCAGGGAACUAAACAAUCACUUUCCCAUCACCAUGACUAAGCAACUAGCCAACUUGCAAGCAGUAAGUACCCUGAGAAACUUGGAUAGAAAAGAAAUGAUUUGAGAAAAAUCAAAGUAACAGAAGAGAGAGAGAGAUCAGAGGAGGAUUGAGCAAAGAUUACAUAGAGAAAGGAGAGGAGAGCUGGUUUUUACUUUUUCAGAUUAUCUUGGUUCUUCUAUUAUCUCCUAGAAAUGGAAGAAACAAACCCCCGUUUCAAUGUCCUCUUCCGAGGCAGAAUAUAGAGCUAUGGCAGCUGCAGCAUGUGAAAUUCAGUGGAUUCGUUACCUUCUUCAGUCAUUGGAUAUUGUAGUACACUAGUACCUCUUCCAGUUCCAGUUUCUCUCAACUUUUACAAUCAGUCUGAUAUACACAUUGUUCAUAAUCCAACCAUUCAUAAGAGAACAAAGCAUAUUGAGCUUGAUUGUUCGGUUAUAUUAUAAUGAUAUGGGAUACUAAUACAUUUUUUGUGAGUAAUAAAGUUUAGUCAGGACUCAGGAAUUAAGAAAUUAAUGGUGGUUUAUGAUUCUAUAUAUAUGAAUUGUUGAAACAGAACACAGCCAAACUUCACAGAAUGGCUCAAGUGAUCAUACAUUAGCAAAUAAUCGAUAGCUUUUGGCAUCAAGUACUAUCUGUCUAACUGCUGCUACUGCUGCAAUACCUCCUAAUGCAGAGAAAACCACAACAAUAGUUACAUUCAACCAGAAAAUGGGGCUUCUCUUCGAUGGCUUAAAAGUCAAAUUGUAGAAAACCACUGGCAAAAUGAAGUCAAGUGGCAUAAAUCCAAAAGCUCCAAUAAGCGAAUUUAUGUCCCCGAAAAAUGGCAGCAUGGCUGCUAUAGUAGUUGCAACAACAACAGCAGUGGACCGCGAAAUCACUCUAGGGAUUACAUUGCGGGACGAGAACUCACGGCUUUUCGGGUCACCAAAUGUUUGCUCCAGCACUUCAUUUAUAGGUUGCAAGUAUACCUGCAUUUAAUGUGGAAAUCCAAUGGUUACUUAGUUGAAUACGAGGGAUGAAUUCAGAUUUUCUGCAGCCUCUAUAGUCAAUCAAUUGUUAUAAACUCUUCAACACGUUACUCACCGCGCCAACUGUUGAUAAUUGUGUUAUAGUGAAAAUGUUGGUCAUGUAAAUGAACCACUUGGACACUAGAGGCUUCCCAUUGUCUACAAAGUUGCUUAGGAUUAGGCCUUCAGAUUCAUUGCCAAAUGCCCAAUAACCAGAUAUAGCUACGCUGAAGAAAGUGAUUGUAAGUAUAGUGUAACAAACACUUAGUCCCUUGAACAUCUUCCCUUUUACUGGUGGUGCUAAUGUAGCCUGCAAAAGAAAAUAAAAAAGCUAGAGAAUAAGUUAAACACAUUCAAAGGAAGAGUCACAACUACUAGACCACUUGAUAUUUAGUUAUAUAAGAGCAUCUUUCAAUUUUAUGUUAGUCUAGUCCAUAUAAUAAAUUUAUAAAUAAGCACUUGCUCUUUAGUCAUGAAAGGAAUAGUCAACCCCGACUCAAUGAUUGAAUCAGUGACUCAUUAACCUAACACCCGACCAAGUCGAUAACAAGUUCGAGUUUUAUAACAUAUGGUUUGAUUCUUACGUGAGUAUAAUUAGAGGGAGUUAUUCAAACCUGAAUUUCUGGAAUUAUUCCAUUUCCGUAUGUUGUGGCAAUGAUGGCAACAGCAUUAAAGAUUCCAAAUAAGCGACUCUCAGCAUCACCUUUCAAAGAAUAAUCUUUUGUUGGUACUUUUGACGAGUCUCCUCCUGCAAUGAUAUUGAUAAUGUCCAGGUUAGAAGUUAGAACACAAACCAUUGAAUCCCAAAUCAUAUUAUCAUAUUAUUGAGUUACAAAAGAAGAAGGAAAUUAAGCAAAUACCAAUAUAUACGGAACCAACAGUAACACAAGCACUGUAGGCCAAGCACAGAACCAAAGACACAAGAUUGAUGUGCCUCAAUGAGUGGAAAGAUGGGACUUGAGCCAAAAUCAACAUGAAAAAUCCAAAUAUUGUUACAAACUCGUAAAGCUUCAUGGUCCCAUUUGGAUUUGCUAAAAUGUAAAUUGCCUGCAUUUAAUUCCAUUGGAAGAAAAAAGGGUAAGAACACAAUGGAAGUCAAAUAUGUCUCUCUGUUUCAAUUAUUUGUGAUAUAAAGUUAAAGAUUUUACCUUCAUGCAUUGUCCUCCUAAAAGAGUAGACGCCACUACAACACCAUAGCAGACUGUGUACUGAAUCGGCCCCACAACAUAACGACCCCAUCUUGGACCUGCCAAUGUUUCAUUUACAUUAGCUGUAAGCCAUAACUUGCCAACAAAAUUUGGUUCAAGUAAAAAGUAUUUGGGUGAAAAACAAGGGUGAUGUUAAAAUAACACUGGACACUAAACAGCCAUAAAAGUUAAGAGAAUUUGUUUUUAUCUGUUGUAAUUAACUUUAGUUUACUGUUGAGAAACCAAAUUGAAUUGUUCAUUUGGUAUUUCAUUGAUAUAUGACAAAUAUCCACAAAUCGAAGUAAGAUUUUAGCAUGUUGAUUUGCAAAAUGUGAUAUAUGAAUAUUAUAAAGCUAAGUAUGUGGUACCUAGAAUAUCAUGAGCCAUGUCUCUGUAUCGGAGCUGACGAUUACCCAACUUAGCAUGGUGCUCAAGAACAAGAGAUAUUAAAUUGUAGGAGUAGAAGGUGACAAGAGCUCCAAUAACUAAGCACAAGAUCCCAGCCGUCCAUCCAAGAAAGGUGAAUGCAUAAGGAAGACUCAAUAGAGGUGGAGCCACAAUUGAUGUUGUUAAGUGGUAAGCAGAAUGCACCCAUGACCCUACAAGCCACACAUAAUAUAAAUUACAUCUUAACAUCCAUUAUUGCUUAUUAAAAAAACAUCCUUAUUGCUAAUAAAAUAACAUCCUUUAUUUCAAUCUGUACCUAAAUUUGUCUUAUAUUUUCUCUUAUAUGUAUUCACAAUUAUGGUCCACCAAUAAACCGUACAAAAUUUUUUGUGUUUGGAAAUUAUAGUAAGUUUUCUGGAGAAAUGAUUCUAGGAGAACUGUUAAAAAGAAAACUUUGUAAGAAAAAAAUGGUUUUAGAAGGCUUAACUAUAAGAUAUAAAUAUAUUAUAAAUCACAAUACUCAACAAUAAAUGUGUUUGCUGCUCUUUUGCACCAACUUAAACGUGAUUUUAAAUAUCUCAACAUAUAGAGAAGUAUGAUUUUGUAACGUUCAGUUUAAAGUAAAUUGAUGUUGAGUCAAUAGAAAUUCAAACACAAACUAAAAUGAAUCUAAAGAUUUAGGAGAUUAAUGUUUGAGAAAAGAAAGAAACUGGGACAAGAAUCACAGGGCUAUAUAAAGUUCCAUGAAAGACUAUGAAGCUUUUGAGAACCAUAGUUAAUGAUUUUAUAUUACCUUUUGAUUUGAGGACAAAGAGAGCGCCUGCAUCAACAUUAUCCUUUUGUUGUUGAAUUUCUAAAGAAGCAUUUUGCUUCUCUGAAUCUGCAUGUACUGCUGUUGAGAUUGGAAGCAGGGAAUCCAUUUGCCUCUGUUCUGUUUGAACUUUGAAGUAUAUGAUUGCUCUGCCAAAUGUUUCAGUGAUCCAAAGCAUAUAUAUAGAAUCACUGGAUCAAGUGAGUCAUUUUUAGUAGUUAAACUAUUAAAAGUCAAUGACUAUAUUAAAUUCUCAUUUUUAUUGUUGUUUUACACAUGCAUUAGUUGUUGUUAGAAAAUUGAGUCAACUUGAGGCAGCAGCUGGGCGAACAUUGAUGAUAUUAGUUGACACACUCAUUUAGUGCGGAAUCAAUACACUGUGAGAAAGUAAAAUAAAUAAUAAAUAUGAUAUGCAAUAAUAAUAAUAUGUGUUAGUGACGAUUUUUAAAUUGGGUAAAAAUUUGUGACGAUUAAAAGGUACUACUAUCCUAAACAUAGAUAUUGAAAGAAUGUAAAUUAUUUAUGUAUGUUGUUUACACAUCAAUACUCUACUCUGUCAUAUAUAUUAGAAUAGAAAGAGAUAACGAAAAAAGUUAAAGCGUUGUUGAAUGUUUUCACUGUUUAUACAAGUGAGCUAGUAUCAAUCUACACGUAGUUUGAUAGAUCUUGUCGUGCAGUGCAAAUGAGAGCAACUUGUCCAUGGCGAAAGGUAGGUGAUUUGAUUUUGAACCUGCUCACAAGUUCUUGGAGGUUAGUAUCUUUGUCUUCACGUAUUGCAGUAGUGAACAAUGUCAGCGUGUAUAUAUAUAACAUUUUGUAGUCCUAGUGAGUAGUGAAUUGUGUAACAUACCUUUAUGUAUAUAUUUUGGUUGAGUGGUGAGCCUAUAAUGCACUUCUAUUCAAAUGCUACAAUAUGGAAUUUCUUGGUAUAAUUAUAUUUUGGAUCCAAAAUUGAUUUCUACAAUUAAGCUAAACAGUGAACAAUUUAUAAGUAGAAAUUCAAGUCAAAAUAUUGGAUUGAAGUCAUAAUGAUUUUCAAGCGUCUUAAAAAUUAGGACUCUAAGAACCCAAAGAAAAAAAAAACGUUAAGACGUACUUAAGACUCCAUUUGUCUUAGAAUUAUUUUAUUUUUACUAAUCAGUGAAAAAAAUACACUACUGUUAUUUGGUUAUUUUUCUUAUGUAAAGGUAAGACUUGCAACUCCAACUCCAGCAUAGUUGUUUGGUUUGUUUUUCCAAUUAAGCAAUUUUUCUUAAACAUAAUUAUUAUAUACAUUGUUCGAGUGGUGUGGAUUGUAGCAAAAGCCCUUUAUUUACGUUUAAAUGAAAACAAGUCUUGUGUGAUUUUAAAUUUAAGUUGUUUUAAAAAAAAUAAGUUGUUUUGGUCGGUCCAAAUGACCACAUGACCCAAUCUCUCACGGUCGAUUAAUAGCGAGUCUCAGCUGUUUGAUCAAGUCCACUAGUAAUUUGCGCAAGGUGAAAGUAAAGCAUUCAUCAUUUUAACCAAUUGGCUCAACUAGGGUUAAAGCCUCAGUGCCACUUGGACAACAGACUAGUAAAAGGUUAACCACUUACACAAUUGAUCAGACAAUACGGUAUAUAAAGAUUUGUUUGCGUUGUAAGUUAUUCAAAAAAAACUCAGUAUGUAUUGCUCUAUAUUACUCCUUUAAGACUUCGAGGCAUUCUUUCAAUCUUAAGCAAACUUAAACGUCGGAGUGCCUUUUAAUCUUAAGCAAACUCCCCCGCUAUGUUCCACCGUGCACAAACCACACAUCACCUAUGUGUUCGUUACCGUGCACCAUGAAGCUUGAUCAGAGGUUGAUUCUGCUCAAGUUUCUGGAAGAUCAAUUGGGGGGAAUCGAUACAUUCAUUCUUAUUAUCAUGGUGGAUACUCCCGGCCAAGUUACGUGAGGAAAACAACAACCUUAUCAUGGAGGCUCUGCUAACGAAAACAAGGAAAUCCCUAGAAUGCGAAGGUUUGAACCCACAAGAAUUCCUUCUCAUCAGGAAGAAAAAGAUGUUCCAACCCAAGAGGAUUUGAUUAGGAGAUUGUAGCAUCAAAUUAAAGAGUUGGAAAAAUCUAUGCAUGUUUGAACCCUUGCACAAAGAUGACGUCUACAACCAAAUUGUGGAAAUGUUUGCUUGUCAUAAGUGACCAAGACUUCACCAUAAAUGUGAAACCAAACAUAUUCUUAUUUAAUUUUGAAACAAGCUUCAUUAUUAUAUACCCAGGUUUUUUGAAACUGGAUAAUAUAUUAAAUCAAAACGCCAUAGAGGCUAAUACAUCCGAAGUCACCAAAAGGUCCAAUUCCGGGGGAACCUCCUCAAUCCAAACAACGUUGGAAAAUUUUGAGGAGUUCUUAGCCAAGAAAUCAGCCACACUGUUGCCUGAACGGCGGACAAAAGACAAAUCGAAGCUAGUAAAGAAAGAGACCAUGUCUCGACAAUCAUUCAAAACAGAAAAUAAAUAAGAAACUCCUUGCUUAUUCUUCUUCCAAGCCUCAAAUAAUUGGAGACAAUCCGUUUCAAACACCACCCGGAAGAAUCCAAGGUCCUUAGCCAACGAUACGCACCAUCGGAACGCUAGUGCUUCAGCCAUUAAUGCGGAAGCUGCACCGAGAGAGUCAAGAGCAGCCGUGGCCAUAACAUCACCAUUGUUAUUCCUCGCGAUCAUACCAAAUCCUGCACCACUGGUAGCUGUCCAAGAGGCGUCGAAAUUGAGCUUUAUUGUGUUGCCAAUCGGUCUUCGCCAGCCUAUCAUAGUGUCCUCCACACGGGCUGGAGCUGCUGCCUCAAUACCGCUGCUGUUCGCGCACAUCAGCGCCUGAACCCGGUGCAGCAGCACCUCAAAGCUGGCCGGUACUCCAUUAUGAACCAGAUUAUUCCGCUGCUCCCAUAUAGCAUAUAACAGAGUCAGCCCAUAGCUUAUUACCUCAGGUUCUUUGGUGGCAAAAAGCUGCUGUAAAUAGCUGGCUGGCUCAUCACCAACCUGGAACCUCAAACUCAGGGGAGUUGCAAACCACCACCUGAGCACAACUGGGCAUUGGAACAACACAUGUGCUGCUGUCUCGUCUGAAUCCAUGCAAAAGGGACAACUCUCAUCAACCUCCAGGCCACGCUUCCUCAAGGCUUGCUUCACGGGCAAGAUUCCUAGCGUUGCCCGCCAAGCCAAAUCUUUCACACGCGGCAGAACAUGUGCUUGCCAAAGGGAUCUCCAGAAGCUUUUAUGGUGACCACGCCCUCUUGCAUCAGAUUGAGAUGAUGGAGAAGCCGCCUGCUGGGAUCGAUAUUGCCUCACAAAGUCAUAACCUGUUUUUGUGGUAUAAGUACCAUCGGUUGUCAAGGGCCAAAAGAGAACGUCCGGGGAUGGGCUCAUGGAUAGAGGGAUGGAUAGGAUCUCCUUAGCUGUGGGAGGCCAGAAGACUAGCUCUAUCAAAUCUCUAUUCCAUACCUGCAAAUUAGCAACCAUUAAAUUGGACACAAAAUUUAAAUUAGCAUGUUGUGCCAUGUCUUCCCGGUAUAUCAAAGGAUAUCCACUUGGAAGCCAUCUAUCCUUCCAAAUAUCAAUCUUUGUACCAUCACCAACUCUCCAUCGAGCACCUUCCUCAAACAUCCAAGAUGUGCGAAAGAUACUUGUCCAAGCAUAGCUAGGACGUGUAUGCUUCUUCGCAUCACCUAGAGGAACAUGAGGGUAAUACACGGCCUUAAACACACGGCCUAACAGGGACUCAGGUUGCUUUUGAAUACGCCACCAAGUUUUCGCAACAAGAGCCAUAUUGAACGCUUUGAAGUCUCUAAAGCCCACACCACCGUCGAAUUUUGAUCGACACAACGAGUCCCAUUUUAGCCAAUGAAUUCCUCGAAGGGAAGCAUCACACUCCAAUAGAACUUGCUAAUCAUGCGCUCAAUAUCUGCACAUAAACCAUCAGGUAAGAGAAAACAUGACAUAAUAUAAGCAAGAAUAGCUUGAGCAACAGCUUUAAUGAGGACCUCUCUACCCGCCCGGGAGAGAGUUUUUUCCUUCCAACCUUUGAGUUUCUUCCAAACUCGUUCUUUGACAAAUUGGAAUAUUUGGGUUUUUGACUUACCAAUAAUGGUAGGAAUCCCCAAAUAUUUGUCAUAGCUAUCUACUACCUUAACACCCAAAAGCAUCUUUAGCUCAUUGAAACGGGGACUAGGCACAUUUCGGCUACAAGAUAGCAUUGAUUUGUCAAAAUUAAUGACCUGACCAGAAACUCUUGCAUAGGAAGCAAGGACCCUCAGGACCGCUUGAGCUUCUUCCACCGUGGCUCUUGCAAAGACCACACUAUCAUCUGCAAAAAGAAGAUGUGAGAUGACAGGUGCAGAUGAGGAACGGGCAAUUUUAAUGCCAUGAAGAGAUGAUGCUACAAUCUCUUUUUGGAUCAAUGCAGAGAAAACCUCUCCACAAAGAAUAAACAAAUAAGGAGACAAAGGAUCUCCUUGUCUCAAGCCUCGACCCGGAUCAAAGGGGACCUGGGGAUUGCCAUUCAGCAUCACCUGAAAUUGGACUGAGGUAACACAAUCCAUAAUGAGAGAUAUCCACAUAGGAGGAAAUCCCAUGUGCACAAGGACACUCUCUAGAAACGGCCAUUCGACCCUAUCAUAAGCCUUGGACAUAUCAAGCUUCAGAGCCAUCAUGCCAUUACGGCCCGACAUCUUUUUCUUCAUCAGAUGAAAACAUUCAUAUGCCACCAGUGCAUUGUCAGUUAUCAAACGACCCGGGACGAAAGCACUUUGUGGGCCAGUAAUGAUAUCAGAUAAAAUAAUCUUGAGUCUAUUAGCAAUUGUUUUUGUAAUAAUUUUAAAAAGAACGUUACACAAGCUAAUAGGUCUAAAAUGGGUUGCAUGUACUGAUUUCUUAAUUUUGGGAAUUAAGACAAUAAGAGUGCGAUUAAUCAUACCUGGGGAUAUUCUGCCCUGCAACACUUCAAGGCAAAAGUUAGAGACUUCAUCUCCAAUUAUGUGCCAAAACUUUUGGAAAAAUAGCGCCGGGAGGCCAUCAAGGCCUGGGGCUUUUGUCGGGUGCAUAUUAAAAAUAGCAUCCUCGACCUCUUCCCUUCCAAAGGGAGUAUUCAAAAUGGCCAAAUGGCCCUCAGAGAGGCGAUUGGCCACUAAACUCGUGGCUGCCUCAAUGCCGGAAGGGUUUGACGUGCUAAAAAGAUGAGAGAAGUAGCCUGUCAACACCCUGCCAAUAUUAACUCUAUCAUCCCAUUUCAUGCCAUCAUCAUCAAACAGUUCAUCUAUAGAAUUCCUCUUUUUCCGUUGGGUCGCCUUUUGAUGAAAAAAUUUUGUGUUCCGGUCCCCAUGCUUCAACCAAGAGGCUCUAGAGCGCUGACUCCAUAUGAUCUCCUCUUGCUUUAACAAUCUUUCCAGCUCUAAUUCUGUAGUGCGCAUCUCAGUCACCACUUCCUCAGUCUGCACGCUCUGUUGGAGAUUCUGUAGAUGAACCUUCAUAUCUGACACCUUCUUCGGGAUUGCGCCAUAUUUCUCUCUUCCCCAAGAGUGUAGAGCCGUGCCCACACUUGCCAUCUUGCUGGUAAGAUCACUUUGCUCUCCUGACCAUAUUUCGGCCACAAUCUCUGCACAUUCGUUGCUAUCCUGCAACCAAACCUCUUCAAAUCUGAACAUACGUGUCUGCCGUCUAUUAGUCCAAUGUCUCUGUUGGCCACAUGUUACAAGAAUCGGAUUAUGAUCAGAAUGAAUGCGGGUUAAAUGAUGAACCUCAACUGCCGGCCACAAGGCCCUCCACUCUGAAUUGAUAAGAGCAUAAUCAAGCCGCUCCUCGAUGGACACCGGGAUGCUUCUUUUAUUGGACCAUGUGAAUCGGUAGCCUGAAAAACCUGCAUCCUCAAGUCCGCACUCUGACAUAGCCUGUCCAAUGGUUUGGAGAUGAUGCACAUCAACUGGAUCACCACCCAAUUUAUCAGACGGGCUCAACACAUCAUUAAAGUCACCUAUGCAGAUCCAUGGCGUUGCGUUCGGUGGCCUGAAUCUCUGAAUAAGUUCCCAAGUGCGAUGUUUAUUCUGCAUUUGGGGGAAACCAUAAACUGCAAGGAUCUGCAUUCUGGACUCUGCCUGUGGGUGGUCCACCAUACAAAGGAUAUGGUUUAGUGAGCCGUGAGCCACCCUGACCUCUGUCUCAUCGUUCCAGAGCAAGCAGAGACCUCCUGCCCGAGACUUACCUGAGCCUGCACAAUCUAUAGGAAAUAAGUUAGAAAAACCAAAAGAAUAUCUCAUACCGAACAUCUCCUGAGCUGAUUUACGCGUUUCUGAAAGAAAGACCACGUCGGGAGCUUCUGAAGAAAUCAGCCGUUUAACGGCUUGAACUGCCCCUGGGUUCCCAAGCCCGCGGCAGUUCCAAGCUAUGAGCCUCAUUGAGGUGGGCGGGACUGCCAAGCAGUCUCCGCCAAACCCAAUCCAAUAUCUGAGCUAAUCUUCUUGAGAGGGGGUGUGGCCCCCGUGCCUGAACGGUCUGGAGCAGAAGAUGAACUCCCCGACCGCUUUCUUUGCCAUCUGGUCUCCUUUUUGUUGGAACCCGGUGUUGUUGUCUUGUUGCUUCCAUUGUUGUGGCUUUGGUUUCCUUUGGCCACUGUAGCUUGCUGAUCUGUGGUGCUCUGAUCUUCAAAUACACCGCCACCUUUACGGCUUCCUUCACCAGUUUCAGCAGCUAUAUCCUCUUUGUUAUUGACAACAUAAUCUUCAUAGUCCCCAUAUUAUUCAUCCUCUCCCUCGUAGACAUUAAAGUCUUCCUCAUUCCCAUGAUUAGUUGCGCGGUGGGCUGUACGUUGGUAUUUGGAACGAGGACCCCGUUCACCACCGCCUCCACCUGCGUGCUCUCUUACACGGCCGCUGUCACGGAGUUGCACCUCACGGUCCCUAUCAUCAUCAUCUGCCCGUAGACCACCAAACUGAGGGAUCUCAUUCGGAGCCAAUGGGCCUUUGUCACAAUUCCUUGCCACAUGGUCUAGGAAACCACAGAUAUAACAAUGUUUGUGCAGUUUUUCAUACUGGAAAAAUACCUCCAGUUGGCCUCCAUUGUCUGAUAUCAGCACUUGUCCCCGGCGCAAGGGAAUAGUCACGUCUAUCCAGACCUUAAUGCGGAAGUAAGCACCCAGUCGAUUGUUACCUCUUCUGUCCGUCGUGAUGUACCCUGCGAAUGCUCCCCCUAAGGCCCUUGCUACUUGCUCCGACCAGCAGCUGUAUGGCAGAUCAAACACUCGAAUCCAGAAGGGGAGACGCACCAGCGGGACCUUUGAAGGCGGAACAUUGAUGUCCAGCACCUCCAGCACAACAGAGAAACGGUUAAACGUCCACGGACCAGCCUGGAGGACCCUGUCACGAUCGUUCUUGGAUGCGAACCUGAACGUAUAGAGGUUCUCUUCAACUUGGCGAAUUUCCACGCCGUUACGUGUCUUCCAUAGAUCCUGGAAGACGUUUCUGAAUGUAUGAUCCAUAAAAGGCUCACGACUCAACAGCUUACCAACAAGCCACACGUCCUUGCCUAGUCUCGGGCUGAUCUUGAGUGUUCCCAGAUUAAUCGCUUGCGCCUCAGACCCAGACAAGACCACUUUCUUGCCUUUGUCCAUCGUUAACCAGUAGCCUGAUUAGGGGACCUUGAUUUGGAAACUCUGGUGCAGUUUGGAAAAACAAGAGAAAAUACUAUAACAGAACUUGCUUGGAGUGCAGAGAAACGAAGGUACGUGAAGGCACGUACAAAAAACUUGAUUACAGCAGGUCAAUUGGUGCCGCCGUCGAGGAGGCGCUGAAACCCAUACCACCGCAUGGCUAAACCCAUACCAAUAUAUACCCAGGUUUUUAAUGUCAAAAUCAUUUGUUUCUUCUAAAAAGAAGCAUGUUAUAUUUUGAAUUUUUUUUACAUUAAUAAACUUUUAAAUGUUACUGAGAGAAUAAUAAAUGAGAACAAUAAUAAUGAAAAAAGAUAGUAUAUUCUUAAGGGUAAAAUAAAAAGUAAAAAAAAAUCUGAAAACUAACAAUAUUAAUCGUAUUUAUUAAUGUGUGUUUUAUUCCUUUUUGAAGAGUUAAUAUGAAACAAAUGAUAAAAUAUUUAUUAAUAAUUUUUCUUUGGUGUCUCUACUCCUUUAGGGUUAGACCCUUCACAAUGAUAAAGACACAAGUACAAAUUUUAGAAAACUCAUUUAUUAAGAAACUGACAUAAAUUAUGAAAUGAUAUUAGUCUUAACCUGAAGGGGUAGACACACCAAAGAAGAAAAAGAAAAAAUCCUAGUGGAAGAGAAACAAAUUGAAACAUGUAAAAUAUGUCAACACACAAUUUGUAGUUGUGACUUGUGAAGGAGGACACAGGUUGUUAGAUUAUGUGGGACUUGCAGCAGGUCAAAGAAAGCCAAUAAUACUUAUAUGCACUGAUCUGAGAAUGGAAGCUACCCCAGUCAAUGAAGAAAAAGUAUUAAAAAAAAAACCCCUCAAAUAGGACAAAAAUCGGUUAGCAAUAUGCACUUGUCAUAGACUAACCAAGGAGCAAAAGACAAAGCCACACAAAAAUAAAAAAAACAUGAAUUAGGUAUCAUAAUUAAGGCACGAGUUUUAUCAAGCCUUCUUUUUUCUUGAUAAAAUAUGAAGCAUAAUUUAACCUUGGGCUUCAAUCAUUGGGUUGGAGCCCAUACGGCAACGCUUUAGUUUAUCGAACUUUUUUUUGUCAAUAAAAGAAAAAGACUCAAGUUCUAGUUUACAAUAAAUUAAAAAAAAAACUUGACUUUCAUUCAUUGGAUCAAAUUCUUGUCCAGCCCAUAUUAUGCAUUGCCUUUAGUUUCGACGCUCACUUCACCUAAGUGUUAAACUUAUUUUGACAACUAAAGUGAUAAACUUAUUCAUACAGUACUAAAAAUAUUAUUUAUACAGUUUGAGAAAAAAAUUAUUUUUAUUAUCUUCUAAUUUAGUGUUACUCCAUUUCUUACUCCAUUUAUUUUUUUUCUUAUUGGUAUCAUUCACAUGAGACAAUUAUGUUCGAGUCUGAAAUAUUAAUUCUCCUAAUUGAGGGAGGUUUUUCCCAUAAAAAAGACUCGAACUUGAAACUUUACAUAAAAGAAAUUAAAUAUGUACCAUUUAAAGUAAUCACAUGUUGGUACACGAUUAUUUUUUUAAGUGACAUUUAAAAUAAUGAUGCAUAAAUUUAGAGUUAAAACUAAUAUUUUUGUUUUUUGUUGUAAUAAUUAAUGAUAAACUAAAAAUAUAGUUCUUCUUUCUUUAAAAUAAUUUUUUGGCUCUUAUUAAUUAUAUAAUUAGGUAAAAAUAGUCAUAGAAUUUAUUCAAUAUUAAUAAUUUUAAUUUUUAGAUUAGCAUAUUGAAAAAUAGUGUAGAAGUAUUCUUAUGAAAUAAAACAUAAAAAAGAACAAGGAGAGUAAUUAUGUAGCUGUGCAUUAUUGAUAAUUAAAGGAACUUGUUUACCAUGGAAUAUCCCUAGUUGGACCAAGAUGAUAUUUAUAAAAACUAAAUGUAGAAAAUGUGUGGAAAUUUUAACCCAUUAUUUUAAAUAUCACUGGACCUUUUAGAAUAGAUAAUUACAAAAAUGUGAGAAAUUCACAACUCAUUUAUCUUAAUUACUAUAGAGUUAAAUAAUCAUAUGGACAACCCGUUAAAAUGAAGUUCACAAAUCACAACUAAUAUUGCUACUAUUCUUUCAGAAAUAGAAGUCGAGUUAGAGUACCUUCAAUUUUUGUGUAGUGGAUUAAUAUUGGUAAAUGGUUGAGUAAGGAAUAUUCACAGCGGAGCGCGGUGAAAAUGUAUAUGUAAAAUGAACUUUAAAGAAAUUCAUGUGUCUUAAAAGAAUAUUCAAUUAGUGAUGCUUUUGUAAUUAAGUGAUGUAGUCGAAAUACUUAACUUGAGUGAAGUUAUCAUGAAUGACAAAUGAGUCACUCGUCAUGCUUGAGCAUUCUUUUUAUUGUUGAUUGUUCUGGUUCUAUUUUAUUCGGCUAACCAUUGAUUAAGAUAAAUUUCACUUUGGUUAUUCUAAUGGGCCAACACGAUAUUUACUGUAUUAAAUUUUAUGGUGAUUUGGGCCGACUAGAACAAUUACUUAUUUAUCUCAUCAAAACUCAUGUCUCAUUCAAACAAUCUGGCCGUCUUCUGGACAUGUAUGUUCGUUAUGCAUGUUAUUUUGCCGGCAAUUAUCUCCACAUCAAAAUCUAUAAAUCUGGCCAUAAUCACAUUGCUUUUUAGCAUGCGCAACUAUAUCCUUGACAGUUUUUUUUUUUGUUACAUAUCCUUGACAGUUUACUGUCACUGUCUUGACAUUUUUCAUUAGACUGACACACACUAAUCACGCUCGUAAUUCUCUCCAACAUAUUUUGCUUUAAUUAAAUGGUUUAUAUUAAUUCAUAUUCAAAUAAUCUCCUGAACUUGUGGAAAACAAAGUGUCCCAAACAUCAGGUGAGUAAUUUUUGUACUUCAGCAUGAGUCUAACUAACAUGAAGAUCCUCAGGGUGUCUCUUUCAGUUUACAUAGAAAUAGAAACUAGAAAAGCAAGGUUUCUCUCAAAAAAAAAUCAUUAUAAGGAGGGGAAAAAUGAAGGUUUAAUUUCUCUUUUUCAAAGAAACCAAAACAUAAAACAGCAUAUUAUUGGGCUCUUGAAUUGCUCGUAAUCUAUCUUUUUAUUGAUCAAAUUUAAUAAGCGAUACUAUCUGUAGCUUAUUGGGCCUUGACCCAAUAACCCACCAAAAGAAAAGGUAACAAAUACAAUAGAAAAUGUCGGAUAAUCCAAAAAAAAAUGUACCUGCCUAAUAGAAGUGGGUUCUCUUUUUCUUUUGAAAAAGGAAAAAAGUAAUGAGAUGAAAAGGAAGCUGGUUUUGUAGAUAGUGACUAUGCCCCAAUUUGCUUUGCAUAUAAAUCGAAAAAUGUUUUCUUCACACCUCAUUUUGAGGUGGAAAGAAGUGGAGGAGGAGUGAGAUAAGAAGAAAAGAAAAAGUAAGAGAGGAAAAGUAUGAGAUGUGAUAGAUGAUAAGAGGAGAGAGGUAAAAACAAAAAUAGGUGGAAAUGAAGUGUUUAAAAGAUGAGGUGUAUAUAUAUAUCAUUACUCAAAUAAAACAGUAGUAGUACUAAAUUAAAUGAGGCUUGUUGAUUUCUAUAGUCUGUCUCCCAGGAGGUAGUGGGUGGUGGGAUUCUGAUAGUUGGGGGUUCUGUAGCAUCGCUAUUGUAAUACUAUAUUUUUUUUUCUUUUUUUUCUCUUUUCCUCCUACUAUUUGUAUUGGGUUGAAGUACGUUUUGUACUUCAUUUCAACAUAUUCCAUUUACUUAUAUAAAAAAAAAAUAUCAAAUCAAAUCCUUGAUUAAUAGUUUACUAAUCAGCCUUGGCCCUUUACUUUGGAAACAGUAAAAGAAUGAUGAUUUUGUGUGUUGAGUCGAGAGUGGCCAAGUGGACCUAUGUGAUAAGUGAUUCCAUGACACUAAUUCAAUCAUCUAUUGAACUUGUUGAUUGAACAGCAAAUUUUGGAGCUGAGAUUCCUCUUCUACUGUAGUUAAUUCACGUGGCAAUUUGUCUCUCACAAGUCACACCUAAUAAUCAUGGAAUGACACAAAAUGGAUUUUGGUUAGAUUAAGAGAAACAUUAGAUGAACUCAUUGGCCUUCUCCAAUUAUACUUAGCUUUCUAUAGGGCAUGCUAUGCAUGAUGUUACAAAGUCACCGACCAUUAAUUAACAAUAGCUAGUAGCAUUUCUUUAAUGGAAAAUAAUAAUUCUAGUUACUAGCUAGUUACUGCAAAUUACACUAAUAAUUAUCAUUGUCUCGAUGGCAAUUGGCUACCGACACUCUCAUUUCUUGAGUAGUACCAUACUACCUGGCUUCCAAGAAAAAAUUGGCAAAUAACACUCACGAGGGCCACAACUUAAAGCUAUACUGAUAUUUUAGUAUCAAUUGUUUUUCUUAUAUGAGUAUAGUAGAUCCAAAUAACCAAUAAGUGUUUGAUUCAAAUAGUAAAUGUAUAAUUUUCUUUAAGUAAAAUUUUAUAUUAAAGUUUUAUACAUAUAAAAAGUCAGAUGAGAGAGCUAGUUAGCCUCAUCAGCAUAUGAACGUUUUCCACUCAAAUAAAACUACUUCCCAUAAAAAUGCACAUUAAUUUGACAACAAUAGAUAGUGGAGGUAAUCUGAUUUGUAUGAUUAAUAAUUGAGAUUUGUGAUUGAGGAUGUGGGUAUUUAUUUAUAUUUAUUUUUUAAGUCCACACGCUCCUAUAAGGGCCCAUGAGAAAGGAAAAAAAGUGAAAUUCGUGAGCAUUGUUAGAAAUUAGGUGGUUGGUUCUAAUAGUAUAUGUUUACUCGAAAUUCCAUGAAAGGGCACACAUCGUUGGAGUGCUUAGCUUUAGGCUACAUAAUUCGUAAUAUGUGAAGAUAUCUCAAAUGUCGAGCCAAUGAUCUUUCAUAAAGACUUACUUCAUCGAUCUCAUGAGUUGCUGGAGGUUUUUGACGGUUUAAUGACACAUGGUGGAGAGGGUUAUGGCAAUCCUCAUUAUUGGAGCUAGAAGGAGGGGUUAUGGCUUUAUAAUGGGCAUAACUCUUCUUUAAUCUCAAAAGGGAGGGAAUGUGGUUCAGGCCCAUGCUGGGUUUGAGAUUGUCAAAUUUGAAGGGUACACAAUCCCUCAACUCCUAACCGUUAUGCUUAGGGGACUUGUAGUGUGACAUGUCUGUUAAGUUGGUUUGGGUCGUCGAACACGAAGGGUACAAUAUAUAAUUUUACUUAGAUAAUGUUCUUAGUUAGAAUAAGAUUAUCAAGUAGUUAAUAUAUAGUUUUAUUUCCGUUGAUUUUUUUAAAAAAAACAAACUACUUGAUCAAGGAGUUUUUGAUAUUUUUUUCCUAAAUGAAAAGGAAAUGUACGUACCAUCUAGCAUUAAAAAUAUAGUAAUUUGUCUGAAAAAAAAGUGGCACGUGAUUAAGUAAAACAUUCAAUUAAUGAGUGGAAAAAGACACUGCGUACAUAUAUCUUGAAGAGGUUUUAGAGGUGGGUAGUUGGUCGAUCGGUUAACCAUUCACAGCAGGUGCAAAAAGAGUGAAAGUGAAGAAGUUUUAUGAGCAUGUCAAAAUAAGGCCAAGGGAUAUUCUUUCUUUUGCAUUAUUGAUUAUUGAUCGAUACUGUCGGUUAGCCCACUUAUUGAUAUAUUUUUUGCUUCCCCCAUUUUGGAAAUUUGAGAUGCUAAAGACCUAUGUACCCCCACCUAAAAAAAUGACUAUAAAGUUGUAGCAAAUGCAUGAGACAAAAUUAAUGUGUCUCAAGCUAACUAACUAUAUAUUGAAAUAUUAAUUGUGUUUUGGGUGAACGAUAUGAAUCAUAGCAACUAACAGUUGCAGGCAAUGCAUGAGAGAAAACAUAUUUAGCUGAGGGCAAAAUAAUGCGCAUGUUACUGGUGGAGAUGACAUAUGAUACCAAUUAUCAAUCAAUUGAUCAAAGACUUGUCAUUUGUCAAAGUUGUUGUUUUGAAAGUAAUGGGUUGUGUAUAUUUGCUGUGAUGACUACAAACCAAAAAGCUGAGAACACUCAAUUUAUGUUUUUCUCUUUUGUAUUAUGCAGGCUUAAUUGAAGUUAAUUUUGGUGCCUCUAAUUUGGAUUUUGUAUUUGGCCCUCAUAGUUUUAUUAGCUAAUUAAAUCACUGUACGUUACAAAAUAAGUAAAUUUGGUUCAUUUAUCAAUUUUCUAAUACCAAAAGUACUUAAAUUUUUAUUUUCUAUUCAAAUAUUUUGGGAUUUAUGAUAAAUUAGUAAUACAGUCUAAAUUUGAAAGUCUGAACAAAAAAAAUUGUGAAAUUUAAUAAAAUUUGAUAUUUUGAAGGAUAUGGGACUAGGGUUUUAAAGAGGAGGAAUGCCAUUAUUUUUAAUUUUAGAUGAAAUUUGAUAUUUUGGCUGGUCGGUUUUGACUGGAAGAAGAUUUAAACUAAUUUCAUUCCAGAAGUUUUCACUCAAUAAUUAGAAUUUGAGAGCUUUAAGAGGAAUAAAAGUGAUUGAAGAAUUUAAUUAAAUAAUUUUGUUAUAAUAAUAAGACGGUUGGAGCAACCCUUGUGCUUUCUAUUAAUACAAUUUUAACUUACAAAAUAAUUAAUUAUAAUAAUGUUAAAACUUGAGCAAAUAAAUUUGCUAAAAAAUUAUAACCAAAAUCAAGAAUACUAAAAAUGCAACUAAGUCUGUUCUAUAAAUGAUUUCGGUUCUCUUAAAAUUGUGAAGUAUUGAUUUUGGUCCCUAAAAUAGUAAAUUAUUGAUAUUGGUUCUUCUAAUUAUUUUGUGGCGGUUUAAACCGUCAAUAGCAUUUUGUAGCAAAUUUUGUGCAUUAAUGACAGAUUUUGAACCGUCACAAAAUGUGUUAGUGACGGUUUAAACCGACGCAAAAAUGAACGGAGGGACAGAAAUAAUAAUUCACUAUUUCAGAGGAUCAAAAUUAACAACGUUUGUUUAAAAGGGGCCAAAAUGAAUGAAAAAAUUUGAAAGAACCAAAAUCAGUAAUUUAUUGUUUUAAGGGGAGAAAAACAUAUUUAGCCCUAUACACAAAAAAGGGGGAAAGGAAUGACCUUGUCCAAUUUGGCUGCAAAAGUGGUUGUAAUGUACUAUUUCAUUUUAUUGUUAAUUAAUGUUAAGCACUAGAGAUUUAUUGUAAAAGGGGCCACCAAGCUUNNNNNNNNNNNNNNNNNNNNNNNNNNNNNNNNNNNNNNNNNNNNNNNNNNNNNNNNNNNNNNNNNNNNNNNNNNNNNNNNNNNNNNNNNNNNNNNNNNNNNNNNNNNNNNNNNNNNNNNNNNNNNNNNNNNNNNNNNNNNNNNNNNNNNNNNNNNNNNNNNNNNNNNNNNNNNNNNNNNNNNNNNNNNNNNNNNNNNNNNNNNNNNNNNNNNNNNNNNNNNNNNNNNNNNNNNNNNNNNNNNNNNNNNNNNNNNNNNNNNNNNNNNNNNNNNNNNNNNNNNNNNNNNNNNNNNNNNNNNNNNNNNNNNNNNNNNNNNNNNNNNNNNNNNNNNNNNNNNNNNNNNNNNNNNNNNNNNNNNNNNNNNNNNNNNNNNNNNNNNNNNNNNNNNNNNNNNNNNNNNNNNNNNNNNNNNNNNNNNNNNNNNNNNNNNNNNNNNNNNNNNNNNNNNNNNNNNNNNNNNNNNNNNNNNNNNNNNNNNNNNNNNNNNNNNNNNNNNNNNNNNNNNNNNNNNNNNNNNNNNNNNNNNNNNNNNNNNNNNNNNNNNNNNNNNNNNNNNNNNNNNNNNNNNNNNNNNNNNNNNNNNNNNNNNNNNNNNNNNNNNNNNNNNNNNNNNNNNNNNNNNNNNNNNNNNNNNNNNNNNNNNNNNNNNNNNNNNNNNNNNNNNNNNNNNNNNNNNNNNNNNNNNNNNNNNNNNNNNNNNNNNNNNNNNNNNNNNNNNNNNNNNNNNNNNNNNNNNNNNNNNNNNNNNNNNNNNNNNNNNNNNNNNNNNNNNNNNNNNNNNNNNNNNNNNNNNNNNNNNNNNNNNNNNNNNNNNNNNNNNNNNNNNNNNNNNNNNNNNNNNNNNNNNNNNNNNNNNNNNNNNNNNNNNNNNNNNNNNNNNNNNNNNNNNNNNNNNNNNNNNNNNNNNNNNNNNNNNNNNNNNNNNNNNNNNNNNNNNNNNNNNNNNNNNNNNNNNNNNNNNNNNNNNNNNNNNNNNNNNNNNNNNNNNNNNNNNNNNNNAUUUUUUUUGGUUACAAGAGGAAAAUUAACAAAAGAGAAAGGCUAACUAAUUGCAUCCAAAUACAAUGAUGUAUAAACAAAAGAGGGAGGUCUAGCCCAAACUUGCAAAGGUGAACCCAAGCGGCAUGCUUCCCGCGCUAAUUUGUCCGCCGUGUUAUUCUUAUUCCGAUCAACAUGAGAUAACCGAAAACUUUGAAACUGCAAUAAAAGACCACGCACCUGCCUGAUCUCCUCUCUAUCCCAAAAGCUGCUAGUAUCACCCCCAUCCUGUAAUGCUUGCACCGUGUCCCCCCCACCCUCCGGAAGACGCAGCGGUUUGUUCAUCGUCUCGCGCCAUAGGGCCUCAUCUCUAAGCACACAUCGCAACACUUGGUUCAACGGUAAGUUCUGGCACAAAACCGCGAAGCCUAAGGUGCUGUUCCUGUGUGCAAAAAAUAGUCCCGAGCCAAUUAACAAAAUCCAUGUGAAUCGCUAGUGGUGGAAGUACAGCUUGAAAAUGACUCCAGAGCCUUCUUGAGUCCGAGCAUCCACGAAAAAUAUGGUCCAGAUCCUCUUGAUCUGCGUCGCACCUCGAGCAGGCUGCGCUGACGGCAAGAUGGGUCGUGAAACGCUUGACAUUGGAUGGUAGUGCCCCAUGAGCUACGAGCCAGAGGAAGAAACGGAUCUUCUCCGGCACUCUCGUCGUCCAAAUCUUCCUCCAGAUGCCAAAAUCUCCCAUCACCGGUGUCGUCAAGCUAUGGUAUGCUGUGCUCGGUGUGUAGUAACCGUUAGGACUGUGGAUCCAUCUUAACGCAUCUGAAUGAUUUCUGUUCGGAGGAAUUUGAAUACACAUUAUUUCGGCAAAAAUCUCAGGAGGCAACACAGUAUACAAGACAUUAAGAUUCCACUGUCCCUUUUGCCACAAAUCUGCAACCUUUACUCUUGUAUCCGCGAUGUUUACAAAUGGAAGACGAUCACAUAAUCUCCCAGUCCCAAGCCAAUUCACGUACCACAAGGACGAAGAGCCAUCCCCUAGUUGCGGCUUGAAACCAGUCCCAAGCCAAUUCACGUACCACAAGGAUGAAGAGCCAUCCCCUAGUUGCGGCUUGAAUUCAGUACCAACAUGUUCAGUAGCUCGUAUUAUUCUUUUUCAAAUAUAAGAGUCCCCUUUCUUAUAUUUACCUUGAAGAAUCCCAUCCGGUCUCAGAUAUUUUUGCGUCAUGGCAGUAACCCAGGGCUUGUCCUUAUGAUGCAACAAAUUCUCUACGAGGGAGCCAAGCAUGGCAAUGUUAUUCAACCGGGCACUACGAAGACCUAGGCCGCCGUGCUCCUUAGGCUUGAUAAUUUCACUCCAAGGUACCAAACUCCAACCGCGAUUGCUUGUUCCUUUAGCCCAUAAGCAGCAACGAAUUUUCAUGUCCAGAAACUCACAGACAGAUUGAGGUAGCCAAAGGGAUUGCAUGGUGUAAAUAGGAAUGGACGUUAAGACAGAUUUUGCAAGGCAAAGCUUACCGGCCUUAUUCAGCAUACGAGUUUUCCAAGAAGCUAACCUUGCAUUAACCUUCUCCAUGAUGGGGAGGAAAAGAUCCCGAGUCACUCUUCCUUUUAACAAGGGAAUACCAAGAUAUUUACCAAGGCAUGAGCAACAGUUUUAGAGCAGCACAUACGAGACUUUUCUAGGUUCACACGCAUUUCUGACGCUUCACAGAAAUCUUUCAGCGUUUCUGCUACUACACGCAUUUGUUCCCUGUUUGCUUGACAGAACAGUAGCACAUCAUCUGCAAAAAAGAGAUGCGAGAUCCCCAUGCCUUCCUUUGCAAUGCGGACAGGAUGCCACGCACCCUCAUCAACUCUCUUCUGUAUCAGAAGUGCCAGACGCUCCAUACACAAGACAAAGAGGUAGGGUGAUAGUGGAUCCCCUUGUCGGAGCCCUCGUUGAGGAUUGAAAGAAUCAAGCUUUGAUCCAUUCCAAAGAAUAGAUAUAGAAGCCGAUUGAACACCCCACAUAAUCAACUCGACAACCAGCGGAGGAAAACCAAAGUCGUGAAGAGUGGCUCUGAGGAAGUCCCAGCUGACCCUAUCAUAGGCUUUCUCCAAGUCAAUCUUUAACGCCACCAAACCCCCUUUCCGCUUGUAAGUAUGAAUGGUAUGCAUUACUUCUUGUGCCAGAACUAUAUUCUCUUUGGAUCCUCUCCCCGGGAUGAAGCUUCCUUGAAGGGGGUUGAUCAAACCAUGUAGAAGAGGCCGGAAGCGAUUCACUAGGACCUUUGUGAUGACUUUAUAGGCAACAUUGCACAAACUGAUGGGGCGGAGAUCUUUAAAGCGAAGCGGAUUAUCAACCUUCGGAAUGAGAACAAUGAGGGUUUCUAGAAGAGAUGAUUCACCCUUCCCUUGGACAAAAGCGUCAGCCACCAUAGCAUGAAGAUCUUGACCCAAUAUGUUCCAAUACUGCUUGUAGAAGAAUGCUUGGAAGCCAUCAACACCGGGCGCCUUAAAGGAUUGCAUGGUCAUGACUGCACUACGAACCUCCUCUAGCGAAACAGGUUGCACAAGGUCAACCCUAUCCUCCUCAGAGAUAGAUGGCGGCAUGAUCUCCAUAACAUGGUUACGGUAAACCUGCGAGUCAAUAGAAAACAGGUUAGUAAAAAAGGUUUGAGCUCCCACCUUCAAACCUUCCGGAUCCGUACACCAUUCCUCGCCAACAAAUAGCCCAUGUAUUUUGUUUCGCUUCCUGCGAACCACGGUCUGAGUAUGAAAGAAUUUGGUGUUCCGAUCCCCAAGCUUCACCCAUUUCUCCCGGGACUUUUGAUACCAUGUGAGCUCCUCUUGGGUGAGGAUCUGAUCAUACUCCUCUUGUAGGGCCCGUUCCAAUCGCAGCAAUGAUUCUGUCUCUUGCACUUCAAGUUCAUGUUGGAGUCCCUGAAGGCGACGCUCCACACGUUUCUUUCUCUUAGUGAUGUUGCCAAAUACGUUCGCGUUGAAAGCUAGGGAUGCCACCCUUAUAUUGUUAAGCUUCCCUGUCAAGGAGGGGGGAGGUUCCUUCCAAGUAUCUCGGACUAAGGGCUCAAAGGAGGGAUGAGUGGCCCAAGCUGCAUGAAAACGGUAAGGUCGGGACUCACGAUCACCAACUGUCGCAUUGCAUCUAACAAGGAUGGGGCAAUGAUCAGAGUAGACUCGUGCUAGGUGUUCUACGUAUGCCUCCGGGAAGAUGUGCCUCCAUGAGAUAUCCCCAAUGGCACGAUCCAAACGUUUAGCUAUUGUGCGCCCGCCAUGUGGUCUCCGUUCCCAAGUAAAUUGUUUCCCUGUGGAGCCUAGAUCAAUAAAAUCACAAGCUUCUAUCAUGGACAACAUGCGAUUAGCUCGCAUUUGGCAAAAAUCACCACCAGACACCUCAGAGGGGGAGAUUAUCUCGUUAAAGUCACCGAUAGCAAGCCAAGGUUCAAGAAACCUUUGGCGGAGGGAAAUCAAGUGCCUCCAUAGGUCUUCCCUCAGAGUAGGAUUAGGGCUUGCAUAUAUAGCUGAACAAAUCCAAGCUCGGUUAUUAAUGCUCACCGAAACGGAGACCACUUGUACAUGCACAUCUACCACUUGAACCUCAAAGCUUCUAUCCACUGGUGCAAGAAUCCAGAUUCCUCCCCGAUGGCCAGACGCCUCCGAAAUGCCACAUAACUCGUAACCUACACGCCGCCAAAAGGAUGCAGCUAUGUCAAAACGACAGUGUGUUUCCACAACAAUAAACAAGGAGGGGCGGAAUGACUUAAUCAAAUCCCUGACUCUCCGCUGACCACGAGCUCCUGCUCCGCCUCUAAUGUUCCAUGCUAGGACACUGAGAGGUGUACUAUCCAUAAACACUUUGAGGGGGAAGUGCCAAACAGACAGACGCUACUGCCUGCUUGAGGGGUCAUGAACUGCGUGCUGUGCUCCUGGGUCAAAGGGAGUAUCAACAGAGGCAUGUAGCACCAUAUGAUCUUCCUCUCCAUGAGCUCUUGAGUCUUCUUCCUCAUCCAGCAAGGCAUAACGAUUGCCUUGUUGGUGUUCCAAGUUCAAAGUUGUAGCCGUCCCGUCCCCAAACACAAAUAUUUUUUUAUUCCCUAUCAUUCGUGUUUCUGGUGGGAGUCUCCCUUGGUGUCCUUGUUGUUGUAUCGACUUUGGAGGAUUAGUUGAGGUGGAUUCCCCAAAAGGCUCCAGUCGCUGGCCCUGUGAGGUUGUCUCCUUUCUUGUUCUCUUCCUACCAGAAGGCGCCACCUUCGUAUUGAGAGAGAUGGCUGUUUCAGUUGCUGCUCUAACUUGCAUGGCCCCACUGUGCACAUCAUGGGAUACCCCUGCCCCUCCCUGCUGGCUAAAACCUUUUUUCCCACCUUGAUUUCUACUAGGCGCACGCACAGACUUAGGAAUUAUAAGACCCCUAUAUUUAUUUGAUGUAUUUGUGUGUGUAUUGUAAUGUAUUUUGUAAUUUACAUAUAUGAAACCUACGACGAUUGAUUUCUCAGUCGGAUCGUUUACCGUCAGACUGUUCGUUGCUCAGUCAUCUGUUGGUCGGGUUCUAGGGUUGUUCCUUGGCGGGUAUCCUGAGUUGUUGCCGCAACCGUCGCCGUGGCCGUCGGUGAAACCGUAGUGGNNNNNNNNNNNNNNNNNNNNNNNNNNNNNNNNNNNNNNNNNNNNNNNNNNNNNNNNNNNNNNNNNNNNNNNNNNNNNNNNNNNNNNNNNNNNNNNNNNNNNNNNNNNNNNNNNNNNNNNNNNNNNNNNNNNNNNNNNNNNNNNNNNNNNNNNNNNNNNNNNNNNNNNNNNNNNNNNNNNNNNNNNNNNNNNNNNNNNNNNNNNNNNNNNNNNNNNNNNNNNNNNNNNNNNNNNNNNNNNNNNNNNNNNNNNNNNNNNNNNNNNNNNNNNNNNNNNNNNNNNNNNNNNNNNNNNNNNNNNNNNNNNNNNNNNNNNNNNNNNNNNNNNNNNNNNNNNNNNNNNNNNNNNNNNNNNNNNNNNNNNNNNNNNNNNNNNNNNNNNNNNNNNNNNNNNNNNNNNNNNNNNNNNNNNNNNNNNNNNNNNNNNNNNNNNNNNNNNNNNNNNNNNNNNNNNNNNNNNNNNNNNNNNNNNNNNNNNNNNNNNNNNNNNNNNNNNNNNNNNNNNNNNNNNNNNNNNNNNNNNNNNNNNNNNNNNNNNNNNNNNNNNNNNNNNNNNNNNNNNNNNNNNNNNNNNNNNNNNNNNNNNNNNNNNNNNNNNNNNNNNNNNNNNNNNNNNNNNNNNNNNNNNNNNNNNNNNNNNNNNNNNNNNNNNNNNNNNNNNNNNNNNNNNNNNNNNNNNNNNNNNNNNNNNNNNNNNNNNNNNNNNNNNNNNNNNNNNNNNNNNNNNNNNNNNNNNNNNNNNNNNNNNNNNNNNNNNNNNNNNNNNNNNNNNNNNNNNNNNNNNNNNNNNNNNNNNNNNNNNNNNNNNNNNNNNNNNNNNNNNNNNNNNNNNNNNNNNNNNNNNNNNNNNNNNNNNNNNNNNNNNNNNNNNNNNNNNNCUCAGUCAUCUUUUGGUCGGAUUCUAGGGUUGUCCCUUGGCUGGUAUCCUGAGUUGUUGCCGCAACCGUCGCCUUGGCCGUCGGUGGAACCGUAGUGGCAGUUUGUGUGCGGGUCUGCGGUUGUGGAACUGGCGUUCCUGUGCACUGCCUAGCAAGAUGGCCAUAGCAGCCACAAUUCGAGCAUAAGAGGUGCAAUCCCUCAUAUUCAAUGUUAUACCAAACACCACGUAACCCAACCCUACCAAGAACUGGUUUGUUUAAAUCAAUUUCAACGCAAACUCGCGCAUACUUCCCCCUUUGCAUAUCCACGGUGUUCAUGUCUACCCGGAUGGGGGUACCAACAGCAGAUGCUAACGUAACAAGAAUACUCUCAUCAUAAAAUUGGAAACCAAGGCCCGGUAUACGUAUCCAAACCGCUGGAUCAAAAAUGUAAACUUCCUUCAAGAAAGAUUAUAUAGUAAUAGUAAUUCACUACUAAAACUAUAAUGACCAAAAUCUCAUGUAAAAUAUAUGGAUCAAAACCAGUGAUAUCAGACUCGGACCGGUGAUCGACUCGGUCGAGGCACUGGGUCAAUGAGUCAAUGGUUCAACCACUGGGUCACUGGUUGAACCGUUUGACUCGGUUGACAAUAAAAAAAAUUCAAAAUACCAUAACAAUAAAACAUACAAGGUUCCAUUAUUUUCCAAUGUUUUAUGUAUAUGGGCCUGUGUAUUUCAACUAUAUUCUUUGUAACCGUUUGGGCUUUGCCCUUUCAAUAACCAACCUUUGACCAAAGUGCCUAGCAGUUGUUUUUUUUUUCUUUUCAAUAGUGCCUGCCAGUUGUUAAAAUGUAAUGCAUUGAAAAAAUUUAAGUAAACAACAUAUAUUUCUGUAAAGUAGCUUUAGAAACAGAUCUGGAUCCGUAUGUCUUCAUCCAUUUACAAACCUUACUAAGUUUCAACCGAUUGUUCAUGUGUGCAGCAAGCUUGCCUCUCAAAACUGAAAGAAACCCAGAAAGCAUAGUAGACAGAUGAUCAGUUUGCCCACAAAUCCCUCCUCCUUCCUCCCACACCCCUCUCCCCUCAACUAUUUUGCCAACGGAGCCAAGCCAUCAUAUCAUAAAAAUUAGCAAUGAACCUGAACGUGAUUGAAACAGGAGCUAAGCUUAAAAUAGGAAGGAGAAGCAGCUCACCAGGAAGAAGAAGCGGUGAACCGUGAACCGUGAGCAAGGCGUGGUGGAGCGGCGGCGGGCCACGGCUACAGGCGGUGGAGCGGCGGCNNNNNNNNNNNNNNNNNNNNNNNNNNNNNNNNNNNNNNNNNNNNNNNNNNNNNNNNNNNNUUCCCGGCUCAACCGGUCGAACCGGCCGGUUUGAGCCGAGUUUUAUAACACUGAUCAAAACUACGAUUAAUUCAAUAUUUUAUGUUGACAAUUAACAAGUAUACAGUCUUGAAAGUAAUGCUAGAACCUGUAACAAUAUUUUAUUGAAUGUCAAAAAAAUAAAAAAAGAGAUGGAAGAUUGGAAUCCCAAGUGGCCACAUUCUUCUUCAAGACAAACAAUAGCCUUAUAAUACACAGCUCAUGAAUCAUGGAUCACUACUAUAAUAAACAAGAAUCACAUGAAACAAACCAAAAUCUUUCCAUAACAGCACACACUUAUUUUCUUCCCAACAUAUCACACCAUUGGCAAAGAUGUGACUAAUCAUUUAAAACUCUGAGAUUACAUUAUUUAUGUGAAUAAAAAUUCUCCCAACAAAUAUUUAUCUAUACACAUCGUUCAUAAAUCAAAUUCUAAACUAGAUGCUUAUAAAGUUCGACUAUCUAUACGAUGCUCUAAUCAUAAAUUAAAUUAAAUACCUUGCGUGCAAAAAUCAAAUAUCGAUAAUAGCAGUGAGUGAGUGACAGUAGAAAGAAACCAAAGAAUCACAGGUGGGAGAGCAAGCACCACUUCUUUAUAUUCACACCACAAUCUCCUUCAUUUUCNNNNNNNNNNNAUCUCGAUGGCAACCCCAUCAAGCCAUUGACCAUUUGCAUGAUCGGCGCCGGAGGCUUCCUCGGAUCCCACCUCUGCGAGACGCUCAUGUCGGAGGCGCCGCACAAGGUGCUCGCUCUCGAUGUCUACAGUGACAAGAUCAAGCACCUCUUGGAGCCUGACACGCUCCCUUGGGCUGGUCGCAUCCACUUCCAUCGCCUCAACAUCAAGCACGAUUCU